rnacentral:lncRNA from 1 species
CGGGCAGAGGUCUCGGCCGAAAGAGAAGUGGAUGAACUAUAAGGGAUGGUUCGGUCAUUACAUUUAAAUACCUUGGUUGGACGUGAUGAGCCAUUGAGAUUAGAGGCAGUGAAUCAGGCCUAUCUACUUACCAGGAUACAGCAGGCCCAGAGUUUGGAUGAUAACUUGCAGAAAGUGGCUCUUAACGACAAGACGGAGUAUCAGAUCACAAGCAACUGAACAAUCUUGGUGAAUGGCCGAGUAAGUGAUCCAAAAAGCAAGGAGCUUAAAGAAGAGAUUAUGAGUCAGGCUCAUAAGUGAAAGUUCUCAGUCCAACAUGGGCUGAAUAAGAUGUAUAGGGAUUUAAAAAGGUACUAUCACUGGGUAAGGUUAAAACAGAUGUGGCCGAGUGGGUGGCGAGGUGUCCUACUUGCCAGUUUGUGAAGGCCGAACAUCAAUUGCCCAAUGGUAUGCUCCAGAAUCUCCCCAUACCAGAGUGGAAGUGGGAUCACAUCACAAUGGAUUUUGUGACCGGUUUUCCUACGACCAGNNNNNNNNNNNNNNNNNNNNNNNNNNNNNNNNNNNNNNNNNNNNNNNNNNNNNNNNNNNNNNNNNNNNNNNNNNNNNNNNNNNNNNNNNNNNNNNNNNNNNNNNNNNNNNNNNNNNNNNNNNNNNNNNNNNNNNNNNNNNNNNNNNNNNNNNNNNNNNNNNNNNNNNNNNNNNNNNNNNNNNNNNNNNNNNNNNNNNNNNNNNNNNNNNNNNNNNNNNNNNNNNNNNNNNNNNNNNNNNNNNNNNNNNNNNNNNNNNNNNNNNNNNNNNNNNNNNNNNNNNNNNNNNNNNNNNNACUGAGAAAAUAAGGUUCUUAAAGGAGAAAAUGAAAGAAGCACAAGAUCGUCAAAAGAGUUAUGCAGAUAGACGGAUGAAACAUCUUGAGUUUGAAGAUGAAGACUUGGUCUAUCUCAAGAUGAUCACAUUCAAAGGGAGGGCUAGAGUUUCUGGCAGAAGAAAACUAGACCCUAGGUACUUGGGUCCAUUCAUAAUCAUAGAAAGAGUUGGGGAGUUGGCUUAUAAGUUGGAACUGCCACCAGCCAUGGAUGCGUUCCAUAACGUGUUUCAUGUGUCCCAACUCCGAAAAUGUUUGUCUGAUCAGGACAUAGUACUACCCGAGAUCCAUACAGAUUUGGGAAAGAAUCUGACUCUAGAGACGAGGCUGGUCCUCAUAGUGGAUCGAACAGAAAAGACAACAAGGAAGAAGACCAUUCCCAUGAUCAAGGUCGUGUGGGAAUACAAUGGCAAGGAUGAAAUCACUUGGGAAACAGAGGUCGUGUGCUGACGGACACACACGGACAGCCAUGGACGUUAUGUGUGUGCUGACGGACAGCCACGGACGUCCUGUGUGUGCUGGCGGACACCUACAGACGUCCUGUGUGUACUGAACAGACAGCCCAUGUGGGCCAAAAUCACCCAAACAGUCUGUCAUGUCCCCGGUCCGAGAUAGGGUCGUUGGGACGAGCCAUGGUGCGGGGAGACGCACCAAUCAGGUCAUUAGACCAGUAGACAAGCGUAUCAUGGCUCAGACGUAGGGUUAAGGGCAUCAAAGUGUUGAGACUUAACCAGGGUGAAGAAAAAAUGGGUUUAAUAGAGCUGGACGAGUGAUGUGGGAGCUGGACGGGGCCGAGCUUGGGCAGCUAAGGGAAGCUUAAUGGGAGCUUAGUCAGUAUGCAUCAGCUCGUGGAGCUAUAAGGACUAGCUAACUCAGCUGGGACCAGCUAGUAGUCAGCUCAAUUCAGUUGGGCCGAGUGUUCAUGUCCGGGACAGUUGGGGCGGUUAAAAGGAUGGUUAUGGUGGUUCGGUUAGAUGGUGUGGCCACGGUAUGGACGGGCAGUUAAAGGUCUUGGCCUUGGUUUCCGGAUAGAGAACCGGCAGGGACAGGAGAAGUUGGAGGUAGUUGAGGACCGGUUGUGUAACACCCCCGAACAAUCCUAAGCAUAGGUCGACCCACCGGCCAACAAUCAAACAAGAACAUGACCGACGGAUGACCCACACCAAGGGUUGGAAAUGAAAGGCCAACCGGCCAGCCAACAAUCAAACAAGAACAUGACUGACCGUCCAACCCAACACCAUGGUCCGGAAGCGCUACGUGACGGGCUAGGGACAAUCCGGUCAGAGUCACAAAUUUUACUCCACGACCUAGACCAGUUCAUCCACUAACUCGUCCGGCUGCGUCAAGGCAUAAGGCUUUGCAACCCGUACCAAGAGUUAGCGUUUUCCGCUAGAUCAAGGCCAAAGGCUUUUCAACCCGUACCUCGACCUAACGUUGUGUUAGACCGGACUAGUCAAAUAUCAGAGUACUCAUGAAGCGCAGAUAAAACAAUUACUUUUAUUGAUUUAAGAAAUAUUCAUACAUUGAAUAAUUCAAGACUGGGCCCGGCCUAAUGCCAAAUCGAGUCAACAUAACACAAUUCACAAUACCCUUUACAAAAGGCAUGAAAAUCUACACCGGCGGUCCUAACAUCCAGCACGAAGCUAUCCGAUCAUCCUUACCUAAAGCGACCUGCAAAAAGGACAACGGAGUUGGAUAAGUAAUCUAGUAUUACUCAGUGAGCUGGCGGCCUCUACCCGCAACCUAGACUCUACCCAGACAACCCAAAAUAACAAUCAAUCUAGCCCUAGCAUGCAAUAAAAGCUAAGGCUAAGCAAACCGUUACUAAGUUAGACUUGGCCUCCUGCCAUGAUCUAGCUUCAAGUAACGGGAACCUGCAUUAAAACAAGUCAACAAGCAAUCCCUAGUUAACCAUAUAUACGCCUGAGUUCAAUACUCAUGUAGUGUUAGACACUUAGACUAUACAAGUAUCAUUAAUCGAUCGACCAACAAUCAAACAAGAACAUGAUCGGCCAACCAAUGAUACCGCAUAGCUUUAAUAUCCACCACCCUUCACAAGCAAUCACUCAAACACAUACAGGCCAACGUCAGGCCUACACUAACGAAAUACACAUCAAGCCUAAUCUGGUACCUAAACCAGACUUAGACUUAACGUCAGAACCUGCAAGCAAAUCAAUCAACCACAAACACAAUCACAAUAAUAAGACUAUGAGUAACUACGACUCGAUCUAACUUGUAACACCGUAUAUCGGUGCUACACUAACUCGAGGGUUCCAUAACCCUCUACGACACUCUAACACAACACUCUAACCUGAACCUGGUGACUUCGUGUUCCUCCUCUCUAUCGGCAAUAUCCUAUCUCCCUACCACAAAGGCCAGAAGAAGGAACUUUCAACCGACCGCGGCCCACAGUCCUUCGGGUCACCGUGCGACAGCCCACAGUCCUUCGGGUCACUGUCCCAUUACACCGUCGUGUAAUACUCAGCCAUAGUACAUGACACCGUUCGUCUGAGUCUUCCCGAUCCAGCGAAUAAGGGGUUUCCUUAAACCCGCUGGGUACAAGGCUGAGGAAACACUAAUCACCCCUAAACAAGCCUAGUAUGGACGGGUUACGCACAUACUGUCGGCACACUCACACAACACAAACUCAAUCUAGAACCUAACCUAAAGAUAAAGUUCCAGAUCCUAACUAGACACUCGACUCAACAAGACUUAACCAAUAGUACCAGUAGUCCGGCCUAUAUGGCCUAAGACCCUUAGUACUAAUAACUAAACAAUAAUAUCAAUACUAAACAAAUAAAUCAAACCGUUAUCCAAAUAGUCCAGCCUCCUGCUAUGAAACUAUCCUUAAAGAUAACGGGAACCUGCACUCAACCAUAUCAACACGCAAUAAUAGAAAACAUGAUGCAUCCUAAUCCUAGUCCUAGUCAGGUUAUUAACUCAGUCAUAAUUCCAUUCAUCUCAGCUUAGCCCUUGCUAAACUGAGUCCGGUUCCAUAAAUAAAAUAACCCUAAGGACUCUACCAUUCAAUAACGUGAUCAUUCUACUCUAUAUGCAGACUCGAUCUACCCUAAAUUCCAAGUGGAAUUCACACAAAACCAACUCACAGUGUUCUAGGCGAGAAGCUGCUGGUUGAUCGGAGAGGACUUGGCCAAAACCCAAGGGACGCCAUGACUGGACUGGACUGGACUGAUCUUGACUUGUACAGAACCUCCCCUGAUACUGGUCUGGACUGAACUCAACUCGAACAGCACCUUCCUUAGCUUCUGAACAAUUCUUCCGAAAUCUGAACAGAGUAUCGAACCAUAACCUCAACUGAACUGAAACCAUGGAACUGAACUGAUCUUGGACAGCACCUCCACUUGAUCAUCAAAUAAUAUGAGUAGAGUGGACAGAUUGACUUGGGCAGAGCUUCCGCAUAACAAUUGCAGAAAUUCUUCGAUUGGACAGAACUUCGCUUCUUGGUGAAGUAUCGAUCUUCGGAACUCAGCUACACUCUCUUUCUCUAUCUCUCUAACCACGUUGACUUGCUUCCCAUCUGAAUUGAUAUUCAAUUGGUUGAUCUUCAGUUGGCCAGAACCUUCCCUAGGCGCUGACUUGAAAUGAGUAGAAUAACUGUUCUCGAAAACUGCCGAAAAGACUCGAAAACGAUCAAAACUCGAACUUUCUUUCUCUAGCUUUCUCUCUCACGUUUUUCUCUGAGUUUCAGGUGUGCUGGAUGGUUUGAAAUGAGCUGGGGUCGUGGGGUUUAUAUAGGAUGCAGCAACCAAUCAGAAACAAGCCGUGUGGCAGCCCGUGUCUCGCUUCGCAUGGCUCCGGACGCAUGCGUCGCGGCACCUCGUGCUCCACAUGUCUGAUGGCAUGACCAGGACAUCAUGCAGAGUGACACCAUGCCCUCCAGAUGUCUGAUCCAAGGCCUGACCUCAUCCAGAUUGACACUCAGCGCACACAUGUCGCUCAGCAUGCUCCGAUCGCAGGUUUCGCGGCACCUCGUGCUUCUGGGUGUCAAUCAGCAUGCUGUGCUCUCCUGGGCUUCAACACCUCCUGCUUCCCUUGCCACAUACCAUGCCAGGCAGGUUACAUCACGUCCUUAUCUCAUAGAUAAGGCCAGCUCGAGCUUCUCGGUCCAUUCGACUGAUUUCGACCCUUCCGGUGAAUUUUCGUCCCGCGAUCAAUCCCGAAUAUUUUUUUACGCCCGUUCUGAUGAGAUGAAUAUUUUUAAUAAACUCCAAGUGAAUCCUGACCUUGAUGGAAAAUAUUUCCCGAGCCUCCGGCUUCCUCGAAAAAUCGAUAAUACCAAAAUUAGGGUUUUCGCCCAACUUCGGGUUUUCCCGUCGUGCUUCAAUCCCGUCGUGCUUGCUUCCCGUCCUGCUUAAUUCCCGUCCUGCUUCCGACCCGUUCUGAUGAGAUGAAUAUUUUUAAUAAACUCCAAGUGAAUCCUGACCUUGAUGGAAAAUAUUUCCCGAGCCUCCGGCUUCCUCGAAAAAUCAAUAAUACCAAAAUUAGGGUUUUCGCCCAACUUCGGGUUUUCCCGUUGUGCUUCAAUCUCGUCGUGCUUGCUUCCCGUCCUGCUUAAUUCCCGUCCUGCUUCCGACUUAUAAUGUCUUCAGAAUAAUAUUUUACUGAUACGAAGAUAUUCCGAGAAAACUUCGCGAUGAAGAAACGUCAAUCUUCAAAAACGUCGAGCUUCUAAACCGUCGUGCUUCAAAAAUGUGAUUCUUCCAAAACUGCCGUCUGAUCAAUCUAAGACAUUUCUAACAAUGGUAGAGCAGCUUAUCUCAACUCAUGCUUCACUCACGAUCCAUUCUUCGACCUUCUCGUACUUCAAAUUUCCCGAUCGAUCUGUAUUGCCCGCGACUCAACCACAAAGUUGAUGCUCGACCAAUCUUCUAUUUUCUUCGAUCCAUGUUAAGUCUUAAGUGAUCAAAACUUAACAUUCCUUCAAUUGCUUUGAUUCCCAAAACCUCGGCUCUGGAUUCUGACUUUUGCUCUCUCGACCAUUUUAUUCCAAAGGGCGGGUUAUCACAACUCGUGCCUCUUGGGACAUGACCAACCGUUUAGCCCAACCGCCCAGUCUAUGGUGCGAUUCGAACCGACCGUCUAACCGACCAGCGUCUAGGUUAGCGGUUUGGUUAUGACCGGCCAAGUCUAGCGACGUGUCCCUUGGACUGAACCAACACAACCUAUGUGUAUAAUCAGAAAGAAGAGAAAGGACCGGAUAGAAACAAGAAGAGGAGGAGCGGUUAGGUCAAAUGAACCGACCAGAGCCACAAUGCGAUCACAGGGACCGUCCGUUCGGUCUGAUGUGGCCAAGCCCACCACAUACCUUCUGAACCGUGUCAGGGUUCUCCAUGUUCUUCUCCUGCUCUCGGUCUCCCAUACUUGAUCGGAGGUUGCUUCUCAAACGAUCAGAUCGCCGGAAACCUAACCACCACACAAAUGGCCUUGCUUUCGCCAGAAACUCUCUCUCUCUCUCUCUCUACGAUUUCCUUGAGUAUUUUUACUCUGGAUCGGAUGAAUGAAAUCGACAGAGAGGACCCCAUAUUUAUAGAAAAUGAGGGGGUAAGUCUUUCCCCACGAACUGGCAUGACUGGCCAGCGGAUGGGAACAAUCGGCCAAAGGUUACACCCUCUCGGCCGCAUGCGUCCCUUCGCCAAUACCGCAUGGGUUUGGGUCGGACAGAGGCCCAAGGCCUUACCCAAUCCCUCUGGACUUAGCCCAUGGCCUUGUCCCAAGCCCCAAUGGUCCAUGGCCUCGUUGCCGGACCCCCAUGGCCCACCACCGGUCCGGACCCGGACCAUCGGACCGAUAGCCGAACAGUCUCUGUCCCGCUGAGAUGAGCUGACUUCCAGCUGCCUCAGCUGAGUGAGCUAGUAGUUCAUCUAGUGGAGCUGACUUAGUAGUGGCCGAGCUGGAGUGAGCUUAACCUAACUCCGUUGAGCUGGUCGAGCUACCUGUUCCAUCCAUCCAGCUACCAUCUUACUCGUCCUAGCUGACUCUCGACUUGUGUAAGGUUAAGUCUAAGUUUCCUUACGUCCUUAACCUUCUUAUCUGGCCAUGGAACGCUUGUCUUGAUGUCCUAAGAAUGACUAGUACGUUUCGUCGAACAAUGGCCGUCCCAAUGAUCCUAUUCAGGAUCCGGGAUGUUACAAGUCUCCCCCACUAGCAAUGGAUUCAUCCUCGAAUCCGAGUAAUGUGUUUCAUCCAACACAAACUGGUCAAACCAUUUCGGAAACUCGGCCUUCAUCCUGGCCUUCGUCUCCCAAGUGGUCUCUUCUCGACCAUUACAAUCCCAAAUGACCUUGACCAUCUGGAUUGUUUUCUUUCUCAUUGCUUUUUCCAUCCUAUCUACGAUCCGAACCGGCCUUGUUUCCAAAGUAAGAUUCAUACCUAGAUCAGAUGGUAUUUCUGGUAUUAAAACGUCCUGAUCCGUCAAGCACUUUCGGAGUUGGGAGACAUGGAAUACGUUAUGCAAGGCUUCCAUCUCGGAUGGUAAGUCCAACUUAUAUGCCACACUACCCACUCGUUCUAUGACUCUGAACGGACCUAGGUAUCUUGGAUAUAAUUUCCUUCUACCAGAAAUUCGCACUCUACCUUUAAUGGUAAUCAUUUUGAGAUAGACCAUAUCACACACUGCAAACUCCACUUCUUUCCUUCGUUUUUCAGCGUAAUGUUUUUGUCUGACCUGUGCGGCCCUCAUCUUAUCCCACACAGACUUGAUCUUCUCCAUGGUUUCCUCCACGAUCUCGGGCCUAUCAUGCUGUGCUCCCUCACUUGGGUCCAGGAUAACGGUGUCCUGCAUGGUCGUCCAUACAAAGCUUCUUAUGGCGACAUGCCUAUACUUGAGUGGAAACUGUUAUUGUAGGCGAACUCCACUAACGGCAAAUGUCGUUCCCAGGAAUCGCCCCAAUCGAGGACACAUGCUCGAAGCAUAUCCUCCAGCGUCCAUAUAGUUAUUUCCGACUGCCCAUCCAUUUUGGGAUGCUAAGCCGUACUCAUGUUCACUCUCGUUCCUAAAGCUUUUUGGAAAGCUUGCCAGAAGUGAGAAGUGAACCUCGAAUCUCUAUCCGAAACUAUACUUGAGGGUACUCCGUGUAACCUCACAAUCUCGUCAAUGUACUUACUCACAAUCUGGUCAAUGUCUUUUUGAUGGCCAGGAAGUGGGCAGACUUGGUCAGUCGAUCCACUAUAACCCAGACAGCAUCAUUCCUAUUCCCGGUCGUGGGAAAACCUGUCACAAAGUCCAUCGUGAUGUGAUCCCACUUCCAUUCCGGAAUAGGUAGGCUCUAAAGUAGUCCACUCGGAAGUUGUUUUUCAGCCAUGACGAGUUGACAAGUAGGACACUAGGCCACCCAUUCGGCCACAUCGACCUUCAUCCGUAUACAAUGAUAGUACUGCCUGAGAUUAUGAUACAUCUUGGUCACUCCAGGAUGGAUCGAGAAUCUAGACUUGUGAGCUUCUCUAAGGAUCUCAUUCUUUAAACUCCUAUCAUUGGGUACGCUGAUCCAACCAUGAACUAAGAUUGUACCGUCCUUGGUGAUUUGAUACUCAGUCAGGUCGUUCUGAGCAACCGUCUUCAGGUUCUUGUCCUGAUCUUGGGCCUCUCGGAUCCGGGUAAGCAGGUUGGCCAUAUUCACUACCUCUAAACCGCGUGGUCUGUCUGUCCCGUUCAAAGCAUUUAAACGGACAAAACGUCCCGCCUCAUCCGGCUCGUCCGUUCCGCUACCGGCCGCAACAUCUUCUCUCUUCCGGCUCAAGGCAUCGGCCACAAGGUUAGCCUUGCCCUGAUAGUAAGUGAUGUCUAGGUCGUAGUCGGCCACGAACUCCAUCCACCUCCUCUGCCUUAAGUUCAACUCAGGCUGGGUCAAUAUAUACUUCAGAUUUUUAUGGUCCGUAAGUAUCUGGACUUUGGCCCCAUAUAAAUAUGAUCACCAAAUCUUUAAGGUGAAUACUACCGCAGCCAUUUCAGGAUCAUGGGUGGAGUAGUUUCCCUCAUGUUUCUUCAGCUGCCUUGACGCGUAAGCAAUGACCUUCCCCUGUUGAGUGAACACGCAACCGAGUCCAGUGAUGGACGCAUCCGUGUAGACCACAUAAGGUUGGUCUGCCUCCGGAAGAACCAGGACGGGUGCGCUAGUCAGCAUAGCCUUAUGUGCGGAGAAACAUCUCGUACACUCUUUGGACCAUGUGAACUUAAUGUCCUUCCCAGUCAACUGUGUCAUCGGCUUAGCCAAGCUUGCGAAUCCCUUCACAAACUUUUUAUAGUAACCUGCCAGCCCUAGGAAGCUUCAAACUUCCGUGGCACUGCGUGGUCGGGGCCAAUCCUUGAUUGCCCUGAUCUUCUCUGGAUCCACUGAGACGCCCUGGUCAGAAACAAUAUGUCUGAGGAACCCAAUACUCUUUUGCCAAAAACUACACUUGCUGAGUUUAGCAAAGAGUUUGUGCUCUCGUAAUCCUUCCAGCACGGCUCUCAAAUGUUUUCGAUGAGAUUCCUCGUCCUUGGAAUAGAUCGGGAUAUCAUCAAUGAAGAUGAUCACCGAUUCAUCCAAGCAGUCCUGGAACAUGCUGUUCAUCAUUUUCAUGAAUGCAGCAGGUUCAUUGGUCAGACCAAACGGCAUCACUACGAACUCGUAAUGGCCGUACCUGGUCCUAAAUGUUGUCUUCCUAAUGUCGUUUGGCUCUAUAGGAAUCUGAUGAUAUCCCGAGGCCAAAUCGAUUUUAGAAAACCACUUAGCUCCUUUCAGCUGAUCCAACAGCUCGUCUAUCCUGGGUAACGGGUACUUGUUCUUCACAGUUACCCUGUUCAACCCUCGAUAGUCGAUGACCAGAAGCAUGCUACCAUCCUUCUUUUUCACAAAGAGGAGUGGUGCACCCCAAGGGGAGCUACUUGGCCGUAUGAACCCCUUGUCAAGCAAGUCUUCAAAUUGCUUCUUUAGCUCGGCCAUCUCGGCCGGAGCCAUUCGAUACGGACUGUUGGACAGCGGAGCUGUCCCUGGUUCCAGUUCAAUCAGAAAGGGAUCGGACCUAUCAGGGGGGACACCAUGUAGCGCCUGAAACACAACCUGGAACUUGGACACCAACGAAUCCUCGCAUGGGUCUAACAGAAAACCAAAACUUGCAGGCUCUGUAGUUGUAAUUGUAGACAAGAAUGACUGACAACCCUGUUCCAGCAUCCGAAUUGCUCGAACUUCUGAAACCACUAUUUUCUCUUGAGCCUGACACAGACCUUGGUACUCUACCGGGUGAAGUCCUUUCUCCAAUUGCACACGACCCUUAUGGCAAUCGAGAGUGGCUCGGUACUUUCCCAACCAAUCCAUACCUAAGAUCACUUCUUGAUUCUUUAGGUGGACACAAACUAGAUUCACAGGGAAGACCUUUCCAUGGAUCUGUACUGGGAUAUUCGACAUGAGACCUAGUGAGUUCAUGGCUUGCCCACCGGCCGCCCUCACUAUUCCAAAAUUAUCACCAGCAUCCAGACAGAACAGACCCUUUCCGACCAGUCCCGAACUCACAAAACUAUGUGUAGCCCCUGUGUCGAAAAGCACAUGAAUUUUUACCCCACCGACCAUGAGGGUUCCUAUCAGAGACCCUCAUCAGAAUCCCCUAGACCAUUCUAGGUUCCAGACCAAGCAUUACUACUUGAAUGUAAAAAGAUAAAUUUAGAAAUUACCAGAGAUCGACUCAAAAGAUCUGGAAGCUCCGUCGUCUCGUGACAGUUCAUACACCCUCGCUGUUGUGGUUGGUUUGCCUUGGGACGCCUUGCCUGUGUCUCCACGGCCCUUUCCCUGACUUCCUUUCAGCUUGGGACACUCCGAUUGAAAAUGUCCUUGCUGGCCACAAUGGAAACAAGUCAUCGUGCCGCUUCUACCAGAUGGGUUCGGUCGAGGACAGUUUUGAACUCCAUUGUCCAUGCUGCCACAACGAACACAAGCCCCCUUGGCCUUGCAGCAUUCACCAGGAUGGUUUCGUCCACAUUUGGAACACGCAGGUCGGCCACCAGAGGUCUUCCCUCCGUCCACCUGGUCCCAUUUUCUCUUUUUAUCAUUUGUCUUGUCCAAUGGGCCAGACUGUGGCUUAGCCUUAAGCUUAGAUUCUUCAGCCAAGUUAGACUCUAACAAAGCCACCCGUUCCACCAUUUCUCCGACGGUGUUGAAAGGGCGGAUCGAGCAGUGGUUCUUCAGUUCUGGCCUUAGGCGUCAGAUGAACCUACGGACCUAGACUGACUCGUCCUCCAGCUCUCUUCAAACAAACCAUCUGAGUCGGUUGAACUCCUCUGCGUACUCCCGUACGGUCCUGCAGCCUUGGACCAAAUCUAGAAACUUAGCUUCCAGACGAUCCCAAGCAUCAGCAGGAAAGUAUUUGCGAGAAACUGAGCUUCCAGACGAUCCCAAGCCUCAGCAGGAAACUAUUUGCAGUUGAAUUCAACUUCAAAGUCCGCAAAACUUGUGAGACUUCCAUUGGUGCGCUUGUCCACUGCAAGCCACCAUUUAUGCGCGUCCCUUUCCAGGAAAUGAACCGAAAUGUCUCGCCUGUAAUCCUCUGGACAGCGAGUUGAUUGAAACUUUCGGACCAUCUGCCACAAAAGGGUCGGUGCUACCUGAAAAUUGCUUCAUACCCAAUCUGGAUAGAUGUUGAAGCAAACUCAGAUAGUCAACCUUCUUUUCUGACCUUUCUGGUGGAUCGAUCUCGAUCACCUCAACCGCGCCCCCAGCUGGACCCAUAGCAAUAGGUGUAUUCGUAGCUACAGGUGUAGCUUGACCAACUGAUGAAUUCACUAGUGGAGUGAAGAGCUGAGUCAUAGCCGCCACUUGGUUACCCAUUACUUUCGUAGCCUCUAACAAGUACUCUCGGGACAGUGCUGUGGGCACGUUGGUGGUUCCCUCGGCCCUUUGCUCACGCUGGUCACCAUCACGGUUAGCGUUCGAGGAUUCUACUUCCUCAUCACUUUCCUUAUGUUGCUGACCUUCUGGUUGCGUUCUCGUAAGAUUGGCCUGAUCAGUAGGCAACACAUAUACGGUGUUAGUCGCGGCCGGAUCGGUUCGUAACCCGGACAGAUUAGUUCCGUCCGCGGCCGCUUGACUAGACUGACCAGCCGUCCUCUUACUCUUUCGGGUCUUUCCCAAUUUGCUUCUCCCAGCCUAAGGAUUCAAACAUUGUUCGUACAACAUAUAUAUAACAUAACCGAGACAAUUAAUCCCUAGACCUAACCAUCAAACCUCACCGUGAGACUGAAUCAGCUGGCUGCAUGUGUGUGGACUACAUACCCAACUAUCCUAGAAUCAAGCAUGCUCUGAUACCAACUUGUAACGCCCGAAUCUGGCCUCUCGAUGAAACUGGACCCGUUUGCUACUUAAUCAAUUUAUUUGCUUGUUUGAUUCAUUUUAAGUCUUUCCUUUACUAAGUCAUUUUCGAAUCUGAGGUUCUAAAACAAUUGAACAGAUAGCACAGCGGAAUAUAAAUGUGUAUAAAAUGUAUUACUUAGAAACAUGAGAUCCAAUACACAACUUCUUAAUUGUUUCAUAGACAAUCACUAGUUCAUCCCAAGCAUCAUCUAACCACACGUUACACAGCGUCUCACUGACCGAGCCUUCACGGCUCCUUGGCUUGACCAGAACCAUCCUUAGUUCCUGAAACCACAACCAGAUAAGCAUUAAUCAUAACCGAGAACAGAACUGGUCAAUUCUACAAUGCUUGGCUUGGUUCCUAGAACACAGAUAAACCUCGGACAGUAUACGUAUAAAAAGAUAUGAACCUGCCUACCAAAUCCUAAGUCAUUCAACCAACCACCCCUUGACUUAGAAUCAGAUAGACAGUGCAGAAUAGAUAAACAGAACACACGAAUAGUUCAGAUCGUCCCGAAGACCAAUCCAUCCAUCCGGAUAGAAUGUAGGUGCGACUGGCCAAGUUAAAGUCCGGCUCAAUGGCUCAACGGACUUCCUUACCUCAUCCGGCCUUGGGCCUGGAUCCAACAGCCGAGUAAGCCUCACGCCCAAUCCGGUUAACUAAACGGCCAAUAGGACCUUGCGACUCUUACCCUGGCUUAGACGAACCGUGUACUUGUCCCAACGGACAAGACAUGGUCUGAUCCCUUAAGGAACGGACACGACCUGUCUCAAUAGACACCAUUUGGAACAUGUACCCCUUCGGUUCUUGGUACCUCUUGGUCCUCGUACCUCUUGGUCCUCGUACCUUUUGAUGUUCGUAACCCUUGGUUACUUACAUCCUUUGGCAACUCACAACCUUUUGAACUCGUGACCUUUGGUAACUCACAACCCUUGGUAACUCGUGACCUUUGGCCACUCGUGCCUCUUGGGACAUGACCAACCGUUUAGCCCAACCGCCAAGUCUAUGGUGCGAUUCGAACCGACUGUCUAACCGACCAGCGUCUAGGUUAGCGGUUUGGUUAUGACCGGCCAAGUCUAGGGACGUGUCCCUUGGACUGAACAAACACAACCCUUCGUGUAUAAUCAGAAAGAAGAGAAAGGACCGGAUAGAAACAAGAAGAGGAGGAGCGGUUAGGUCUAAUGAACCGACCAGAGCCACGGUGCGAUCACAAGGACCUUCCGUUUGGUUUGAUGCGGCGAUAGCCCACCACGUACCUUCUGAACCGUGCCAGGGUUCUCCAUGUUCUUCUCCUACUCUUGGUCUCCCAUACUUGAUCGGAGGUUGCUUCUCAAACGAUCAGAUCGCCGGAAACCUAACCACCACACAAACGGCCUUGCUUUGGCCGGAAACUCUCUCUCUCUUUCUUUCUCUCUCUUUACGAUUUCUCUGAGUAUUUUUGCUCGGGAUUGGAUGAAUGAAAUCGAGAGAGAGGACCCCAUAUUUAUAGAAAACGAGGGGGUAAGUCUUGCCCCACGAACAGGCAUGACUGGCUAGCGGAUGGGCACAAUCGGCCAAGGGUUACACCCUCUCGGCUGCAUGCGUCCCUUCGCCAAUACCGCAAGGGUUUGGGUCAGACAGAGGCCCAAGGCCUUACCCAAUCCCUAUGGACUUAGCCCAUGGCCUUGUCCCAAGCCCCAACGGUCCAUGGCCGGACCCCCAUGGCCCGCCACCGGCCCGGACCCGGACCAUCGGACCGAAACACAAACAGUCCGUCCAGCUGAGAUGAGCUGACUCCCAGCUGCCUCAGCUGAGUGAGCUAGUAGUUCAGCUAGUGGAGCUGACUUAGUAGUGGCCGAGCUGGAGUGAGCUUAAACUAACUCCGUUGAGCUGGUCGAGCUACCUGUUCCAUUUGUCCAGCUACCAUCUUACUCGUCCUAGCUGACUCUCGACUUGUGUAAGGUUAUGUCUAAGUUUCCUUAUGUCCAUAACCUUCUUAUCUGGUCAUGCAACACUUGUCUUGAUGUCCUAAAACUGACUAGUACGUUUCCUCGAACCAUGGCCGUCCCAAUGAUCCUAUUAAGGAUCCGGGAUGUUACAGUCUCAUUCUGUCUGAGACAAAGGACACACGUCCUAAACAAAGGGAUACCCCAAUGAGAACCGAGGGUCCAAGCCGGAAAAAGGCUCGGUUGUGGUGGUUUAGUAUCUCAGGCAAGGAGAACGGUUUAGGAGAGAGGAGGCCGUGUGGUUAUGGAUACCCAAGGCAUAGAGAAAGGUCUGGAGAAGGACUCCAACCCCGUGGUUCAGUAGUCAGAUAGGGUCAGUGGGGUAACCACCGACUCAUCGGCUAAGACAAUCGGACAGUCCGAACCCCUCUAGCCAUGGGCGUUUGGAUUGUGUCCUAUUCUUCUAAGUCCGACCCGCUCUAGCCAUGGGAGUUUGGGUUAUGUUCUAUUCAUCUUAUUCUUUUCAUCUAAUUCUUCUUCUACUCCUCCUGUACAUUGAUGUGGCCUUGUUGAUAUGUUGGGAUUGGUUAUAUCCGUGGUUCUGGUUGACUAAUGCGGUUCCGAUUGGAUAGGCGCGCGCAUCAUCUGACUGGCCUCAGGUGAUCUGAUUGGAUAGGGGCGGUUCUGUUCUGUUCUGAAUGGUUGCAACCCUUCCCUAAACAGUCACAAUGGUUCAUGACUUGUGUAGGUUAAGGCGUGGUCCUUUGGCCAUAGGCCGGACACAUGCACGGACCAGACAGUCCAUACGGACGGUUAGGUCAAACAGUGGGAACAUCUGAAUGGGUGCGAGUUGCCAAGGGCCAUGAGUUGCCAAGAGGCACGUGUGUUCAAAGGGUACUAGUUCCCAAAGGGUGUGAGGUCCAAACGGUGCCAUUGGUUCAAGGCUUAGGCCGAACCAAGUGGAUAGUCCGCGGCUGCAUAGUCGAACAGACGGACGGUUAAUUUAACCGGAGUGUUGUGUAGCAAGGUCUGAUCGGUUGCAAGGAAAUCCAGUUUGGGUUGGAUCAGGUAAGAAGGUCCGUGAGCCUUUGGGCCGGACUUAUAACUGGCCGAUCGCACCUAGAUCUUAACCAGACGGUUAGACGGGACUAUGGACGAUCCGGAUAUGGUUGGAUGGUUCUAGCCGCAAAGGCUAAGUAGGAUAUCUUAUAAUCAACUUUGGGUUGGUGAGUAGGAUAGGCGCCAUAUGCCUUAUAUAGGGAGUAGACCCACAUGAUGGCAAUGGAAGGCCGGUUAUGUCAUUGCCUGACAAGUAGGCGAUUUCUUUUGAAGUCUAGUGGUCGGAUCAUGUUUCAUGACGAUGGUUCGAUGGCCUAACACUAGUAUGGAUAGUCACGUUGCUGGAGUAAGAGUAUUGAUGUGAUGCAUCUAGAUAUCAACCUUGGUGUUGAUAGCUUCGAGAUUGGCUAAGAGUCAUGACGAAGUGUGUGGCUAGUACUAUGUGUCGUAGACCAUAGAUACUGAGCCUAAGUGUGAUUGUUCAAGGAAGGCCGUGUAAGAUCUGAUCAUGGUUGAGUAUGGACGACCUGACCUCUGAAUGAUGGUUCAAGGUGUCGGUCCUAACCUGAUUAAUGAAUGCAUCGGUUGGUAUGAACAAAUCAUAUAUGUUGUCUGGGUUAAGUCCCAAGGCCGAUCAGGCCAGAUGAUGACUCAUCAGUUCCAAGUCAUGUGAGGAAGGUUGGUUGAUUGACUUAGGAUCUAAUGAGCUUUGUCAGUCCAGAAGAUGGACUUGGUACUAUUGCCUAUAAGGUAAAAGGAUUUCGGAUUGUGCAUGAGCCGAGAAAGGCCAGAUGCAAACCCUUAUCCUUUCAAAGACUUCUCAAAGGUUACUUAUGUCUGUGGGGAUGGUUGGUUGAUUGACAAAGUACCUAGGGGAUUUGUUUGAUGCAGGAGUCAUGAUAAGGACCUUAAGUAAGAUCAUUGAGUGAUUGGGGUCCAGCUGUCAAGAAAGAGCAACUUGAGUCAAUGGAGGACCGAUGAGCUAAUAAGCUCCAAAGAUGUGGCAAAGGUAUGAUCUAGCAUUUAAUUAUGUAGAUCUAGAUAGAAUGGUUUAGGGGAAUGGAACCUCAGAAUCGUAUGGCUUGGUUUGGGUUUAGGAUUGACCUUUAAGCUAAUUGGUAGUUGAGUAAACUGACCAAGGCUAAGGUGAUUCGACCAGACAAGUGUUAGAUUGGUUUUAGACCAAUGGUUAACUAGAGAAUAAUCCACUGCGUAUAUGUUGAAUGGAUCUAAGCUAUUAAUGACUAGGAAAAUCUUUAGCUAAGAUAUAAGUUAGCCGUCGCCUUUAGGCGAUAUUAUAAAUAAAAGGGCAAAAAUUAAGAGGUUCGGCCAGGAAGUGGACCGAGCGACGUAAGACUUCGACCACGGCCUAGUCGGCUGGAUCGGGGUGUUACAAGUUGGUAUCAGAGCCAGAUCGAUCCUGUUUAGGACAACGCUCUAAGAUGUUGGUUUCCAAACUACAAUUAUUUCUGAAAACUAUGAUGACUAUGAAAUCUUAGAUGGGGUGAGCCAAGAAAGAGUUGAGGUAAGCUAGGGUAUCAUGCUUGUGAAUGUGGGAGUUCUAAGAUGAACCGGCUUAGCUAAGAUACAUUUUCCAAGGGCAAGAUCCUAAAAACAGAAAGGUUGGUCGAUCUAGUUAUUUAGAAGUAAUAGACGGGUUGGAAGGGAUGGAAGGAAUGCAAAACUUGUUUAUGGAUUACCUGGACAAGGGAAGUAACAUGGACCAGAGAGUGGCAUAGGUUGAAAUAAACGUGCAGCACUCUACUGAAGUUAAGUGUUAUCCCUUGAUGGCCGUUCAUAAUAAGUAAAGCAUAUGCAAUGUUAAAUCUGACUCAAAGGAGACACUACAUGACCAGUACAGGAGUGGACUUGUGAUCAGAUGUAUCAGCUAGGACUCGGUAUAAGUCAAGGUAGGUUUCCUUAGAUCUAGUUGGAUGGAAUAAAUCAAUUCCAAUCGGAAUCCAUCCAAAGAAAGAAUGAGGAAACUCAGGGUGUUCAUUCCAAUCAUUGGAAGAACAUGAUGUUAAGUAUCUUAGUAUGAUGGGGAUUGAGGAUAUUAUAAUUGCUGUUGUGAAUGGUGUGAACAUUCGCAAUAGUAAGACGAUUUGGAGAAUGGUAUGGGACGUUUUCCAAAUGUGUGAUCAAACCAAAAUCCUACUCAUCUAGGUACCCACUGGAAGUGAAAGUAUUGAAGUUAUUGGCAAUGCAUUGAGGGAUGUUAUGGGACGUCCUUCAUGGUAUGGUCAUGACCAAGGUAUUUUCCAUAAGACAAUGGUAUAUGAUUACAACAAGAUGUUGUGAAUCAGUCUCAGGUAGUUUAUGUUUACGGUUGAGUGGCCUGGGAAACAAGGCAGUCCACUAAAGCUUGGUCGCUUAGGGAUUUGCAGAAGUCUACCAGGACUCAAAAGAGAUAAGCAUUACGCCUUAAGGAUCCAUAUGGGAUCGGAUAGGGCUCGACCAGUAUGGCGAGUGACCUAGCAGAUGGACCAAGGUGGUAUGCAAUCGAGUCCAGAGAUGGACCAGGGUUGGCUUACCUAAACGAGUUCAUAUCUGCUAGGGCCCUCAAGCAGAAAUGCUUGGUCUAGAACCUAGAAUUGUCUAGGGGAUUCUGAUGAGGGGUCUCUGAUAGGAACCCUCAUGGUCGGUGGGGUAAAAACCCAUGUACUUUCCGACGCAGGGGCUACGCAUAGGUUUUAUGAGUCUGGGACUGGUCGGAAAGGGUCUGUUCUGUCUGUACGCUGGUGAUAAUUUUGGGAUAGUGAGGGCAGCCGGUGGGAAAGCCAGGAACUCACUAGGUCUCGUGUUGAAUAUCCCAGUGCAGAUCCAGGGAAAGGUCUUCCCUGUGAAUCUGGUCUGUGUCCACCUAAUGAAUCAAGAAGUGAUCUUAGGUAUGGACUGGUUGGGAAAGUAUCGGGCCACUCACGAUUGCCAUAAGGGUCGUGUGCAAUUGGAGUCUGGGUUGUACCCGAUACAGUACCAAGGUCUGUGUCCGGCUCAUGAGAAGUAGUGGUUUCAGCAGUUCGAGCGAUUUGGAUGCUGGAACAGGGUUGUUAGCCUUUUUGGCUACAAUUACAACUACAGAGCCUGACAGUUGCGGUUUUCCGUUAGACCCAGGCGGGGAUUCGUUGGUGUCUGAGUUCCUAGAUGUGUUAUGUUCGCUACAGAGUAUCCCCUCUGAUAGGUCGGAUCCAUUUAUGAUUGAACUGGAACCAAUGACAGCACCGCUAUCCUAGAUUCCGUUUCUUUGGCUCCGGCCAAGAUGGUAGAGCCGAAGUUGACCAUGUCCGAGUGAGGACCACGGUCGCAGUACAACCAAGUCGGAGUUUGACCUACGGUUGAGAAUGAUCAAGUCCAGUAAUGGACGAGGAUCAGGCCACGACCUACUCGGAGAUGGACCUAUGGCCGGGGUGAAACGGUCGAGUCCCUGACUGGACCAGGACCGGAAUACAAUCACGUCCGUAAAUCGACUAGGAUUGAAUUAUGACAAAGUCCAGUGAAGGACAGAAGUCAAGUCUGAGGCGUUUUUAGUCUGGAGGGACUAAGAUCGCAAUGUGGCCAAGCCUGAAAAGGUUGUGGCUGGUUAAGGGGAUGAUCUAGUACGUUGUGGCUGAGGUCAUGAACCUUAUUGUCCAUGAAAGAUAAAAGAACCAUAACGAUCUGUUAGGACUCGUUGUAGGACGAACAGCCUAAAGAUUGUAACGAGUUCCUGAGGAGUUGACUUGUACAUCGAGUGGCGUGGGGAUUGGCCAAAUCUACUAAGGCUCGAGUAUGCAGCAUGUUCCUAGGGACUGGUUAUGAUCUAGUCAUGGACUAUGAUCAGAGAUAGAAUAAAAUCUGAAGAAGAUGAUAUUCAAAAGAAAGACAUGGACUUGUUGGAUACUUGGAUCGCAACCUGGAGAGUUCGUCCAAUGACACAAGGAAUGUCUUUGGAUGGAAUUACAAGUAUCACUUGAUUGGAUACUUGAUGGACCCUCCACUGUGGUCGAAGUAAACAAGUAAGGGUGCCAUAAGCAAAACCAGAAAGGACCACUUGAUAGGACUUUUGUGGUUAAAUGCUUAUCAAGUGGGGGAGACUUCUACAACGAUGGUCAAAGGAAUUUGAUCGUCGAUGUGGUCAUUUGGUGGUUUUAUCACUCAAAUUACCCUAAAGAGUGUUACUCUCAUCAAAAGAGGUUCAGAUGUAGUAAUUAGGGAUCGAAUCCACAGAGACUCUAGGAUUACUCAACAGAUUUAAAUAAUUAGAAAUGAAGAUAGACUAAAAGGUUUUAAUAGUUUUAAAAGCAGUAAAUGAUAAAUCGAAAACAAUAGUGAUUCAAUAGAUUGAAUUGAAGUGGUUUCAGAAUGGGAAACCAGCUAGAUUCAGGUAAUUCUCAGGUAUAAAAUGUAUGCACUUAGUUUAGACUUAAGGGUUUGAUAGUUUUUGAACAAAACAAUGAUUUAACCGGCUAGGUUAUCUUCGCUAGAUCUCGGAUCUCAACUAUCGUAUUUUGAUCUCGAGAGAGUGUCGAUCGAUGUGACUCGAUGUACAUCGACCGAUACACCUUUGUAAUGAUCGAACGACAGAAUGAUAGUUGCGUGUAUCGAUGGUUAUUCUAGCGAGCUUUGCGAACGAGUUUAACUUGUUCUCUAACCUUCUUAGACCAACUGUCGUUGCGCCUGAGUUGGUUAGAUCACGCAAGUGGGUUCAGGAAUUGAGGGGAAACAGUUAGUUUGACUCAAUUAAUCCUAAGAUUUAAAAUGAAGGUGAUCAAUCUCAAUUUUAGCAUUAAGUUCACAAGCAAUGAAAGAACAAUCAAAACACCUUUUAUAUAGUCAUAUUAGCAAUACAUAAUUUCAACCAUGGUGAGAAACCUAAAUCUAACAAUUGGUUUACUCAUACAUAUUCAUGAGAGACAAAGUCAUGAUGGUGUGAAAUAAACUCAAAUGAAACAUAGAACACAAAUAGACAUAGUAAUAGAAAGAAAGGAGUUCAAGAUCUUCUCUGUUUUGCGGUCUCAGAUCUAUCUCUCCAAUCCUAAGCUCUCCUAAUGGUAGCCAAAAUGCUUCUUUUUCCAAACUAGGUCUUUUUGCAAGUGUCUGCUAAAAAUGAUACAAAACCCUAGUCCAUAUAGCCUAACAGGCGGCUAGGGACUUAAGUUGUAAAUAAUAGAUCUUCUGGGAAAUGAAAUCUUUUAAUUUGCGAUUUCAUUCGUGUGACUGGGCAUCGAUUGAUGCACAUGUAUGUUUGUCGAUCGAUGGUAAGUGAUUAUGAUCGACCGAUGUUGCUCUUCAAGCGUCGAUCGAUUUUCCUUGCGUAAAAGCAUUCCAAAAUAUCUCAAAAGUAUCAUUUCCUUCCAUCAGGUGAAUAAACCUGUAUUUGCUUUGAAAAGGCUCUAAAACAUAAUUAAUACAUCAUAAAAUCUUUAUAUACCGUGUAUAAAAACGGGUGAAAAUCAUGGUAUAUCAUGGUUCUGAAUCAAGCUUGUUCUAUUCCCUGAUCAAGACUAGGAUAAGUCGGUUGGAAUAUUUUGACUUGGGACAAGAUAUAAUCACCACCGGAUUUGAGGACGAAACCAUUUCAAGUGGGGGAGACUUGUAACAUCCCCGAUCCAAGAUAAGGACCGUCGGGACGGCCAUGGUUCAAGGAAACGAACCUGCCGGUCUUAAGACCAUAAGGUUAGCGUUCCAUGGCCAAGAGAGAAAGUUAAGGACGUCAGGAUGCUGAGACUUAACCUUAUAGGAGAAAGAAGUCAGCUAGGAUAAGCUGUACAGAAACUGGGUGAUGCUUACGGGAAGCUCGAUCAGCUAGAUGUAGCUCGGUCAAGCUCAGCCUAGCUCGUUCCAAGUUAAGUCUGCUCAACCAGCUGGACUACUAGCUCACUCAUCUGACGCAUCUGGGAGUCAGCUCAUCUCAGCUCGAUGGACUGUUCGGGUUUUGGGCCGAUGGUCCGGGUCCAGGUCAGUGGCGGGCCAAGAGGUACGGCCAAGUGGUCCAUGAGUCGUUGGGCUCUUGUGGGCAGGCCGUGGCCUUGGGGUACCAAGUCUGGGUUUGGGUUGGACGUGCCUAUAAGGUCUGGAACCUUCCGUUUCCGAACAGGUACGAUCUGGACCGUUGAUUGUAAUCGAUGGCCAAGAUCUGUCCCAAAAGGAUGCUUCGAAGGGCUGUAUCCCUUCGCACAUGACCUUUGGUUGCCUAUAUAAAGGAUGCACGACCAGAGAUCAAUUCAUUCAUUCUCAUUCAGUCUCUUUUUGUCUGAGACAAAGGACACAGGUCCUAAACAAAGGAAUCCCCCAAUAAGAACCGAGGGUCCAAGCCGGAAAAGGCUCGGUUGUUGUGGUUUAGUAUCUGCGACAAGGAGAACGGUUUAGGAGAGAGGAGGCCGUGUGGUUAUGGAUACCCAAGGCAUAGAGAAAGGUCUGGAGAAAGAUUCCAACCCCGUGGUUCAGUCAGAUAGGGUCAGUGGGGUAACCACCAACUCAUCGGCUAAGACAAUCCGACAGUCCGAACCGGUCUAGCCAUGGGCGUUUGGGUUAUGUCCUAUUCUUCUUAUUCUUUUCUUCUAAUUCUUCUUCUAUUCCUCAUGCACAUUGGCGUGGCCCUUUUGAUAUGUUGGGAUUGGUUAUAUCCGUGGUUCUGGUUGAGUAAUGCGGUCGCGGUCCAUAACCGACGAGUUAGGCGCGCACAUAAUCUGACUGGCCUCUGGUGAUCUGAUUGGAUAAGGGCCGUCCUGUUCGGUUCUGAACGGUUGCAACCCUUCCCUAAACAGUCACAAUGGUUCAUGACUUGUGUAGGUUAAGGCGUGGUCCUUUGGCCACAGGCCGGACACACGCACGGACUAGACAGUCCAUACGGACGGUUAGGUCAAACGGUUGGAACAUCUGAAUGGGUGCGAGUUACCAAGGGUCAUUAGUUGCCAAGAGGCACGUGUGACCAAAGGGUACUAGUUCCCAAAGGGUGUGAGUUCCAAACGGUUCCAUUGGCUCAAGGCUUAGGCCGAACCAAGUGGACAGUCCGCGGCUGCAUAGUCGAACGGACGGAAGGUUAGUUUAACCGGAGUGUUGUGUAGCAAGGUCUGAUCGGUUGCCAGGCAAUCCGGUUUGGGCUUUGGGCCGGACUUAUAACUGGCCGAUCGCACCUAGAUCUUAACCAGACGGUUAGACGGGACUAUGGUUGAUCCGGCUAUGGUUGGAUGGUUCUAGCCGCAAAGGCUAAGUAGGAUAUCUUACAAUCAACUUUGGCUUGGUGAGUAGGAUAGGCUCCAUAUGCCUUAUCUAGGGAGUAGACCCACAUGAUGGAAAUGGAAGGCCGGUUAUUUCAAUACCUGACAAGUAGGCGAUGGCUUAUGAAGUCUAGUGGUCGGAUCAUGUUUCAUGACGAUGGUUCGAUGGCCGAACACUAGUAUGGAUAGUCACGUUGCUGGAGUAAGAGUAUUGAUGUGAUGCUUCUAGAUAUCAACCUUGGUGUUGACAGCUUCGAGAUUGGCUAAGAGCCAUGACGAAGUGUGUGGCUAGUACUAUGUGUCGUAGACCAUAGAUACUGAGCCUAAGUGUGAUUGUUCAAGGAAGGCCGUGUAAGAUCUGAUCAUGGUUGAGUAUGGACGACCUGACCUCUGAAUGAUGGUUCAAGGUGUCGGUCCUAACCUGAUUAAUGAAUGCAUCGGUUGGUAUGAACAAAUCAUAUAUGUUGUCUGGGUUAAGUCCCAAGGCCGAUCAGGCCAUAUGAUGACUCAUCAGUUCCAAGUCAUGUGAGGAAGAUUGGUUGAUUGACUUAGGAUUUAAUGAGCUUUGUCAGUCCAGAAGAUGGACUUGGUACAAUCGCCUAUAAGGCAAAAGGAUUUUGGAUUGUGCAUGAGCCGAGAAAGGCCAGAUGCAAACCCUUAUCCUUUAAAAGACAUCUCAAAGGUUACUUAUGUCUGUGGGGAAUGGAACGUCAGAAUCGUAUGGACUGGUUUGGGUUUAGGAUUGACCUUUAAGCUAAUUGGUAGUUGAGUAAACUGACCAAGGCUAAGGUGAUUCGACCAGAAAAGUGUUAGAUUGGUUUUAGACCAAUGGUUAACUAGAGAAUAAUCCGCUGCAUAUCUGUUGAAAGGAUCUAAGCUAUUAAUGACUAGGAAAGUCUUUAGCUAAGAUAUAAGUUAGCCGUCGCGUUUAGGUGAUAUUAUAAAUAAAGGGCAAAAAUUAAGAGGUUCGGCCAGGAAGUAGACCGAGCGAUGUAAGACUUCGAUCACGGCCUAGUCGGCCGGAUCGGGGUGUUGCAAGACCUGAUGCGGUUAUGAGUACGACCGGACGUGAGCGGCACUCGGUCCUCCAGAUUUUCAAGGGCCGCCGGGAAUGCACCGGACACCACGCGACGUGCGGUGCUCUUCCAGCCGCUGGACCCUACCUCCGGCUGAGCCGUUUCCAGGGUGGGGAAGCUGUUAAACAGAAAAGAUAACUCUUUCCGGAAUUCCCGCCGACGUCUCCGGACUUCCUAACAUUGCCGUCAACUGCCACGUCCCAGUUCUGGAAUUUUAACCGAAUCCCCUUUCAAAAUUCGUGCAUAAGCGCUAUCAGACGGGUUUCCCCGACUCUUAGGAUCGACUAACCCAUGUGCAAGUGCCGUUCACAUGGAACCUUUCCCCUCUUCGGCCUUCAAAGUUCUCAUUUGAAUAUUUGCUACUACCACCAAGAUCUGCACCGACGGCCGCUCCGCCCGGGCUCGCGCCCUAGGUUUUGCAUCGACCGCCGCGCCCUCCUACUCAUUGAGGCCUGGCUCUUGCCCCGACGUUCGGGUAUAGAUCGCACGCUUCAGCGCCAUCCAUUUUUCGGGGCUAGUUGAUUCGGCAUGUGAGUUAUUACACACUCCUUAGCGGAUUUUGACUUCAAUGACCACCGUCCUGCUGUCUUAAUCGACCAACACCCUUUGUGGUUUCUAGGUUAGCGCGCAGUUGGGCACCGUAACCCGGCUUCCGGUUCAUCCCGCAUCACCAGUUCUGCUUACCAAAAAUGGCCCACAUGGAGCUCUCGAUUCCGUGGGAUGGCCCAACAAAGCAGGCACCCCGUCCUACCUAUUUAAAGUUUGAGAAUAGGUCGAGGACAUUGCAUCCCCGAUGCCUCUAAUCAUUGGCUUUACUCGAUAGAACUCGUUUCCGAGCUCCAGCUAUCCUGAGGGAAACUUCGGAGGGAACCAGCUACUAGAUGGCUUGAUUAGUCUUUCGCCCCUAUAUCCAAGUCAGACGAACUAUUUGCACGUCAGAAUUGCUGAGGCCCUCCACCAGAGUUUCCUCGGGCUUUGCCCCGCUCAGGCAUAGUUCCCCAUCUUUCGGGUCGCGACAGGCAUGCUCACACUCGAACCCUUCUCAGAAGAUCAAGGUCGUACGGCUGUGCACCCGUGAGGGAUCCAGCCAAUCAGCUUCCUUGCGCCUUAAAGGUUUACACACCCGUUGACUCGCACAUAUGUCAGACUCCUUGGUCCGUGUUUCAAGAUGGGUUGAAUGGGGAGCCCGCAGGCCAACGCCCUGAGGACGCAGAUGCCAAGGCACGCCGUGAGGCGCGUGCUGCAGACCACGAUAAAGGCAGCAACGUCUCCGCGGGCGUAACAAAAGCCCAGUCUUAGGUCACCACCUUAAUCCGUGUCGGUCCACGGCCCGGAUCGAUCGGCGUACAGGAUUGCUCUGUUCCGCAUCCGACCAGGACGAAUCGCCAGCCUCCCAACAAUUUCAAGCACUCUUUGACUCUCUUUUCAAAGUCCUUUUCUUCUUUACCUCGCGGUACUUGUUCGCAAUCUGUCUCUCGCCCAUAUUUAGCCUUGGACAAAAUUUACCGCCCGAUUUGGGCUGCAUUCCCAAACAACCCGACUCGUAGACAGCGCCUCGUGGUGCGACAGGGUCCAGGCACGACAGGGCUCUCACCCUCUCUGGCACCCCUUUCCAGGGAACUUGGGCCCGGUCCAUCACUGAGGACGCUUCUCCAGACUACAAUUCAAACAUCAAAGACGUCCAUUUUCAAGCUGGGCCCUUCCCGGUUCGCUCUCCGUUACUAAGGGAAUCCCUGUUAGUUUCUUUUCCUCCGCUUAUUGAUAUGCUUAAACUCAGCGGGUGAUCCCGCCUGACCUGGGGUCGCGUUGAGGACUUUGGGUCAUCAAGAGGUUUUGGACCGUAACGUCUGACUAUAUGACGAGAAUUGAAUUCACCACCGCAUGUCAAGAUGCUCCUGGCGUCCUUAGCUCGGAUUUUGGCCAACCACGUGCGGUAACACACAUGAGAUCAGCUUCCAUCCCAUAUCCUCGAGAGGAUGGGGGGACGACGAUUUGUGACACCCAAGCAGACGUGCCUUCGGCCAGAAGGCUUGGGGCGCAACUUACGUUCAAAGACUCGAUGGUUGACGGGAUUCUGCAAUUCACACCAAGUAUGGCAUUUUGCUACGUUCUUCAUCGAUUCGAGAGCCGAGAUAUCCAUUGCCGAGAGUCAUUUUAUACUUUACAUUGCAGCACUGCUUCCAAACAAACAACAUCUCCGGGUUGGCGAAAGCAGGCUGUUUAGUUGCAUUUUCCUUGACACUUUUCGUGUCGGGGUUUAGUGAUAUCCGGAAGCUAUGCGUUCGAUCCAAAUACUUCGAAUUUGAAUCUAAUUUUUUGCAUGCUUAAUAAGAAUGGUUAAAGCUAUUUUCUGGUAAAUUUUCAUGAUUUUCUUUUGCUUCUAACCAUGUCUUUAGCAUGCUACAAAGUUCGGAGUUUCGUGGUCUAAACGAAUAUCUACAGCAACUUUUGAUCAACACUUGACAUCCUAAACUCUUUGUUGACAUAUUUUUGAUGUUUCCUUUCAGAAAACUUUCUUCAAAAAUAUUAAUUUUUUAAUUUUUGGCUUCUCGGGUGAUUUUGGUUGUCCGUGGGUGAUUUUGGCCCACGUGGGCUGUCUGUUCAGUACACACAGGAUGUCCGUGUGUGUCCGUCAGAACAUACAGGACGUCCGUGGCUGUCCGUGUGUGUCCAUCAGCACACACAGAACGUCUGUGGCUGUCCAUCAUUACACAUAUCAGCACGCUGGUCCUAGGACUCAGCACGCUGGCCCUUCCCAUGGACUGUUUGGGUGAUUUUGGCCCACGUGGGCUGUCGGUUCAGUACACACAGACGUCCGUGGGUGUCCACCAGCACACACAGGACGUCUGUAGCUGUUUGUGGCUGUCCGUCAGCACACACAGGACAUCUGUGGCUGUCCGUGUGUGUCCGUCGGCACACACAACACGUCCGUGGCUGUCCAUCAGUACACAUAUCAGCACGCUGAUCCUUCCCGUGGACAGUUCGGGAGAUUUUGGCCCACGUGGGCUGUCUGUUCAGUACACACAGGACGUCUGUGGGUGUCCGUCAGCACACAUAGGACGUCCGUGUGUGUCUGUCAACACACACAGGAUGUCCGUGGCUGUCCGUGUGUGUCUGUGUUUGUCCGUCAGCACACACAGGACAUCCGUGGCUGUCCAUCAGUACACAUAUCAGCACGUUGGUCCUUCGACUCAGCAUGCCAACCCUUCCCGUGGACUGUUGGGUGAUUUUGGCCCACGUGGGCUGUCUGUUCAGUACACACAGGACGUCCGUGGGUGUCCGCCAGCACACACAUGACGUCCGUGGCUGUCCGUGUGUGUCCGUGUGUGUCCAUGUGUGUCCAUCUGUGUCCGUCAGCACACACAGGACUUCUGUGGCUGUCCAUCAGUACACAUAUCAGCACGUUGGUCCUUGGACUCACCACGCUGGCCCUUCCCGUUGACUGUUUGGGUGAUUUUGGCCCACGUGGGUUGUCUGUACUGAACACACAGGACGUCUGUGGGUGUCCGCCAGCACAUACAGGAUGUCCAUGGCUGUCCGUCAGCACACACAGGACGUCUAUGGCUGUCUGUGUGUGUCCGUGUGUGUCUGUGGGUGCCGCCAACACACACAGGACAUCUGUGGCUGUCCAUGGCUGCCGUCAGCACACACACGACGUCCGUGUGUGUCCGUCAGCACACACAUGACGUCCGUGUGUGUCUCUGUGUGUCCGUCACCGCACACAGGACGUCCGUGGCUGUCCAUCAGUACACAUAUCAGCACGCUGGUCCUUCCCGUGGACAGUUUGGGUGAUUUUGGCCCACGUGGGCUGUCUGUUCAGUACACACAGGACGUCCGUGGGUGUCCGCCAGCACACACACAAGACGUCUGUGGCUGUCUGUGGCUGUCCGUCAGCACACACAGGACGUCUGUGGCUCUUUGUGUGUGUCCGUGUGUAACCGUCAGUACACACAGGACGUCCGUGGCUGUCCAUCAGUACACAUAUCAGCACGCUGGUCCUUGGACUCAGCACGCUGGUCCUCGGACUCAGCACGCUGGCCCUUACCGUGGAAUGGUCGGAUGAUUUUGGCCCACGUGGGCUGUCUGUUCAGUACACACAGGACGUCUGUGGGUGUCCGACAGCACACCCAGGACGUCCUUGUGUGUCCGUCAGCACACACAUGACGUCUCUGGCUGUCCGUGUGUGUCCCUCAGCACACACAGGACGUCUGUGGCUGUCCAUGAGUACACAUAUCAGCACGCUGGUCCUUGGACUCAGCACGCUGGCCCUUCCCGUGGAGUGUUCGGGUGAUUUUGGCCCAUGUGGGCUUUCUGUUUAGUACGCACAGGAUGUCCGUGUGUGUAAGUCAGCACACACAGGACAUCCAUGUGUGUCCAUCAGCACACACAGGACGUAUGUGGCUGUCCAUCAGUACACAUAUCAGCACGCUGGUCCUUCCCUUGGCUGAUUUUGGACAACCAUAGACUGUCCGUGGGUGUCCGUGUGUGUCCGUCUGUGUCCGUCAACACACACAGGACGUCUGUGGCUGUUCAUCAGUACACAUAUCAGCACGUUGGUCCUUGGACUCAGCACGCUGGCCCUUCCCGUGGACAGUUUGGGUGAUUUUGGCCCACGUGGGCUGUCUGUUCUGAACACACAGGACGUCCGUGGGUGUCCACCAGCACACACAGGACGUCCGUGGCUGUCCUUCAGCACACACAGGAUGUCCAUGGCUGUCCGUGUGUGUCCUUGUGUGUCCGUGGGUGUCCGCCAACACACACAGGAUGUCUGUGGCUAUCCAUGGCUGUCCAUCAGCACACACAGGACGUCCGUAUGUGUCCGUCAGAACACACAUGACGUACGUGUGUGUCCGUCAGCGCACACAAGACUUCCGUGUGUGUCCGUCAGCACACACAGGACGUCCGUGUGUGUCCGUCAGCGCACACAGGACGUCCGUGGCUGUCCAUCAGUACACAUAUCAGCACGCUGGUCCUUGGACUCAGUACGGUUGCCCUUCCUGUGACACCCCCGAUCUGGUCUCAGUAUAAGCUGACUCGAUCAGGCGUGCAACAAUCAAACAAGAACAUGCACAGCCGAUCACUCGUAACUGAAACCAAACCAAGAAGCCACAAUGUGUACAUAAAUGACUAACCCGAAGUUCCCGAAAUAAAUCCAGGUACCUUAGGCCAACCGCCUAAGUACACAUAUCCUAUUAGGUACAACCCGAGGCUUUACAACCUUAAGAGUAAUACCCAAUAGUUGGUUCGUCCGGACAAGGACUAAUAUCAUUUGGAACCCGUACUUUAAAAACAUUCUUUAUACACUAUAUACUUAUUAAUUUAAAAGAAUCUUACAAAAUCUUAUAGAUUAACCUCGAGGUUUUUGGUCAACAAACCUUAUACAUAAAGUAUAUCAAAACGACUGCAAGGAUAAUAAAACUACCGCUGGCUAAUGCCAUUCCUUCCCAUCCUAGAGUAAAGGUCUCCCAUCUACUGGUUACCUGCAUAUCAAAUGAGUCAUGAGUAACUAGUUUACUCAGUGAGUCUAAUCCCACACCCAAACACAUAUCAAUAGUAUCCUGAGCAAGCGACACCUUUUGAAUGCAGUGGAAUUAUAUUCCAUAAUUAAUAUAAUUAUAAGGCCUCUCAAUCCAUCCAUGUGAAUCUAUCUUAAACAUCACCUCCACGAUACCCGCCAAUCACUCACUCUUAAUAUAUAUAUAUAUAUGCUAAACCCGGAAAACCACCAAGGCUAACCGAGCCUAACGGGGAAUAAAUAUAACCAUCAUCUCCAUCAGAUAUUCCAAGAUAGAACAUCCAAUGCUGCAUGCAGUUACACGGCCUCCAGGGUGCGACCCCAUCAUCGUGUCUUCAUGACCUUGAUCCAUAUCGCAGAACAAGUACUAAGGUUCGGGAUAACCUCAAAGAAUUAUUCUUAUUAAUUCUUAAGUAUUUAGACUAGAUAAAUACUUCAUAUAUAAAUAUAGAUCAAGGGAUAAUACUUAAUCAAUCAACCAUAAUUACUCUUUAAUUAAUCUAUGAUUAAUCAUUAAUUAAUCAAUGAUUAUCCCUUAAAUAAUUCAUGAUUAAUUCUUAAUUAAUCAACCAUAUUCAAUAUGCAAUCAUGCAUACUCAUUCAUAAUUCAUUCAUCAUCUAUCUAGAUUCACCUUUAAAUCCAUGAGAUUGGCUAAAGAAGACUAGACUCGAGCUCAAGCUAAUCAUACUUCACUUCUGGAUCACUCUCGGUUCAGAACCAUCACAAGGAUCCGGCUUAUCCGAAUACUCUCCUUGGCCAUAACAUAACAGUUGGAACAUAAGGUUCACUAGUCUGGUUCAAGAAGAAACUCAACUCAGUUCAUAACAUUUCAGUUCAAUUCUCUCAUAUCAGUUCGGUUCAAGACAGAUUGAUACCAUGUUCAGCUCGGUUCAAGCUUUAACAAUUUAACUCAGUUCAUAUCAGCUUAGUUCAUGCUCAGCUAACUCCGGUUCUAAUCAGUUCCCAACAGCUUAGCUCGGUUAUACUCAGACGACAUCAGUUCAAGACAAUUUCAGACCAUAGACAGCUCGGCUCAGAUCAGAUCAAAACAUAUUCAGCUCAAUUCAGUUCUAAACAAGAUAAAAUCAGUUCAAUUUAAUUCCCAUAAUUCUUAUCAGUUCGUCUACUGGUUCUAUGAGACUGAUUAAAUCAUAAACCAACCAAGACUGAAGAGAACAAGACCUUAGACAACUGAUCCUGACAAGUUAACCAACAUACAGCAAUUGGUUCUCAUCAAAACAUGGCUGAAUCAAGAAGCUGAAGCUUACCAGUUUUAGUCAACUAAUUAAACUUGACUGGUUGUCUCUCUUCAAGCUGACCACGAAUUAACCUGAUCAACACCACAAGAAUCCAUGGUUGGAUUUAUUCAGAAUUUAUCUCCAGUGUAGGCAAACCAACAAAACUUCUCACAUAAACUGAUCCACAACCAUCUUACCGAUCAAAAUCAAAGGCUGAAGAACAUGGGUGAUUCUAAACUCUUGGACACCAAACCUUCAGCUCUUAACCACACCAGAACACACUGGAUAAAGUCACAGGAUGGUGAGAAAGGUUUGUCCAUGCUCAAUUCUCUUCUCUGGAUAAAUUUUUCUCUCUUCUUUCUCUCUUUCUCUCUGAAUUUUUCUCUGGUUUUUCUUGCAGGUUAUGAACGUCCAGAGGAGAGAAGAUGGUGUUUUAUAACAUAAGAAGUUGCUUCAGGUGAGGGUUUACUUAAACCAAAGCAAGUUGCUGUCCUUUCCCUCCUUUGAAGAAAGAUUAUUUUGUUUUUAUUAAACAAGCAACCAGCUUGUGACUUUCAUGUGACUUUAGUGAAGCAAGCAAGCAGGUAGGUGCAGCUCAUGUGACUGAAUUAAUGAGCAAGCAAGCAGAAUAGCUGGUGAAGGUAUUAGACUGGUCGAAAUUUAGUUAAGAAACUUAACGACAAUUUCAGACAAUUUUUUACUAAAAUUUCUCAUCCUUCGAAGCUCGUCUUACUUUCAACUAAGCUUGCCUUGCUUAAAUAAUAUUCGACCAACAUUAUUAACACUCUACCAGAACUAUCAAUGAGAGGCCUUUCGACCACAAGACAGUCCCGUCGAGGUAUUAAUUCACCGGGUCGACUUUUUUUUUUUAAAUCUGAUCGACCAACUCCAAACUGGUCGAGCGGAGUUUUUCUCGACCAAAAAUUAACUGGCUCGUGAGGGUUAUUACACUUCCCGUGGACUGUUUGUGUGAUUUUGGCCCACGUGGGCUGUCUGUUCAAUACACACAGGACGUCCGUGGGUGUCCGCCAACACACGCAGGACGUUCGUGGCUGUCCAUGGCUGUCCAUCAGCACACACAGGACGUCCGUGGCUGUCAGUGCUUUUCCUUGUGUGUCCCUCAGCACCCACAGGACGUCCGUGGUUGUCCAUCAGUACACGUAUCAGCACGCUGGUCCUUGGACUCAGCACGCUGGCCCUUCCCGUGGACUGUUUGGGUGAUUUUGGCCCACGUGGGCUUUCUGUUCAGUACACACAGGAUGUCCGUUUGUGUAGGUCAGCACACACAGGACGUCCGUGUGUGUCCAUCAGCACACACAGGACAUCUGUGGCUGUCCAUCAGUACACAUAUAAGCACGCUGGUCCAUCCCUUGGCUGGUUUUGAACAACCAUAGACUGUCCGUGGGUGUCCGUAUGUGUCCAUCUGUGUCCGUCAGCACACACAGAACGUCUGUGGCUGUCCAUCAGUACACAUAUCAGCACGUUGGUCCUUGUACUCAGCAUGCUGGCGCUUCCCGUGGACUGUUUGGGUGAUUUUGGCCCAUUUGGGCUGUCUGUUCUGAACACACAGGACGUCCGUGGGUGUUCGCCAGCACACACAGGACGUCCGUGGCUGUCCGUCAGAACACACAUGACGUCCAUGGCUGUCCGUGUGUGUCCGUGUGUGUCCGUGGGUGUCCGCCAACACACACAAGACGUCUGUGGCUAUCCAUGGCUGUCUGUCAGCACACACAGGACGUCUGUGUGUGUCUGUCAGCACACACAUGACGUCCGUGUGUGUCCGUCAGCGCACACAAGACUUCCGUGUGUGUCCGUCACCACACACAGGACAUCCGUGUGUAUCCGUCAGCGCACACAGGACGGCCGUGGCUGUGCAUCAGUACACAUAUCAGCACACUGGUCCUUGGACUCAGCACACUGGUCCUUGGACUCAGCACGCUGGCACUUCCCGUGGACUGUUUGGGUGAUUUUGGCCAAUGUGGGCUGUCUGUUCAGUACACAAAGGACGUCCGUGGGUGUCCGCCAGCACACGCAGGAUGUCCGUGGCUGUCCGUCAUCACACACAGGACGUCCGUGGCUGUCUGUGUGUGUCCGUCAGCACACACAGGACGUCCGUGGCUGUCCAUCAGUACACAUAUCAGCACGCUGGUCCUUGGACUCAGCACGCUGGCCCUUACCGUAGAAUGUUCGGGCGAUUUUGGCCCACGUGGGCUGUCUGUUCAGUACACACAGGACGUUUGGGGGUGUCCGAGAGCACACCCAGGACGUCUGUGCAUGUCCAUCAGUACACAUAUCAGCACGCUGGUCCUUAAAUUCUGAUCGAUCAAUCUUCAAAAUGAUCUUAAAGAGUUUUCUCGACCAAAAUUAUAUCUGCUCGUGAGGGUCAUUACAUCCGCUGUCCAAGAGUCCGUAUCGAAUGGCUCCGACCGAGAUGGCCGAGCUAAAGAAGCAGUUGGAAGAAUUGCUUGACAAGGGGUUCAUACGGACAAGUAGCUCCCCUUGGGGUGCACCAGUCCUCUUUGUGAAAAAGAAGGAUGGUAGCAUGCGUCUGUGCAUCGACUAUCGAGGGUUGAACAGGGUAACUGGGAAGAACAAAUACCCGUUACCCAGGAUAGACGAGCUGUUGGAUCAGCUGAAAGGAGCUAAGUGAUUUUCUAAAAUCGAUUUGGCCUCGGGAUAUCAUCAGAUUCCUAUAGAGCCAAACGACAUUAGGAAGACAGCAUUCAGGACCAGGUACGACCAUUACAAGUUCGUAGUGAUGCCGUUCGGUCUGACCAAUGCACCUGCUGCAUUCAUGAAAAUGAUGAACAGCGUGUUCCAGGACUUCUUGGAUGAAUCAGUGAUCAUCUUCAUUGAUGAUAUCCUGAUCUACUCCAAGGACGAGGAAUCUCAUCGGAAACAUUUGAGAGCCGUGCUGGAACAAUUACGAGAGCACAAACGUUUUGCUAAACUCUGCAAGUGCAGUGUUUGGCAAAAGAGUAAUGGGUUCCUCGGUCAUAUUGUUUCUGACCAGGGCGUCACAGUGGAUCCAUAGAAGAUCAGGGCAAUCAAGGAUUGGCCCCGACCACGCAGUGCCACGGAAGUUAGAAGCUUCCUAGGGCUGGCAGGUUACUAUAGAAAGUUUGUGAAGGGAUUUGCAAGCUUGGCUCAACCUAUGACACGGUUGACUGGGAAGGACGUUAAGUUCACAUGGUCUGAUGAGUGUACGAGAUGUUUCUCCGCACUUAAGGAUAUGCUGACUAGCGCGCCCGUCCUGGUUCUUUUGAAGGCACACCAACCUUAUGAAGUCUACACGGAUGCGUCCAUCACUGGACUCGGUUGCGUGUUGACUCAACAUGGGAAGGUCAUUGCCUACGCGUCAAGGCAGCUGAAGAAACAUGAGGGAAACUACCCCACCCAUGAUCUUGAAAUGGCUGCGGUAGUAUUCGCCUUAAAGUUUUGGCGAUCAUAUUUACAUGGGGCCAAAGUCCAGAUACUUACGGACCAUAAAAGUCUGAAGUAUAUAUUCACCCAGCCUGAGUUAAACUUAAGGCAGAGGAGGUGGAUGGAGUUCGUGGCCGACUACAACCUAGACAUCACUUAUUAUCCAGACAAGGCUAACCUUGUGGCCGACGCCUUGAGCCGGAAGCGAGAAGACGUCAUGGUCGGAAGCGGAACGGAUGAGCCGGAUGAGGUGGAACGCUUCGUUCGUUUAAAUGCUUUGAACAGAACGGACAGACCACGGGGUUUAGAGGCGGCGAAUAGAGCCGACCUGCUUACCCAGAUCCGAGCGGCCCAAGAUCAGGACGAGAACCUGAAGAUGGUUGCUCGGAACGACCUGACUGAGUAUCAAAUCGCCAAUGACGGUAUGAUCUUAGUUCAUGGUCGGAUCAGCAUACCCAAUGAUAGGAGUUUAAAGAACGAGAUCCUUAGGGAAUCUCACAAGUUUAGAUUCUCGAUCCAUCCUGGAGUGACCAAGAUGUAUCAUAAUCUUAGACAAUACUAUCAUUGGAUACGCAUGAAGGUUGAUGUGGUCGAAUGGGUUGCAAGUGUCCUACGUGUCAACUCGUCAAGGCCGAAGAACAAGUUCCGAGUGGACUGCUUUAGAGCCUACCUAUUUCCCACGACUAGGAAUAGGAAUGAUGCUUCUGGGUAAUAGUUGAUCGACUGACCAAGUCUGCCCACUUCCUGGCCAUCAAAAAGACUGAUGGAGUCGACCGGAAUGUGAGUAAGUACAUUGACGAGAUUGUGAGGCUACACGGAGUACCCUAAAAUAUAGUUUUGGAUAGAGAUUCGAGGUUCAGUUCUCACUUCUGGCAAGCUUUUCAGAAAGCUUUAGGAACAAGAGUGAACAUGAGUACGGCUUAUCAUCCCCAAAUGGAUGGGCAUUCGAAAAGAACUAUACGGACGCUGGAAAACAUGCUUCGAGCAUGUGUUCUCGAUUGGGGUGAUUCCUGGGAACGACAUUUGCCGUUAGUGGAGUUCGCCUACAAUAACAACUUCCACUCCAGUAUAGGCAUGUCGCCAUACGAAGCUCUGUAUGGACGACCAUGCAGGACACCGUUAUGCUGCACCCAAGUGGGGGAGCGUAGCAUGAUAGGCCCCGAAAUCGUGGAGGAAACCACGGAGAAGAUCAAGUCCGUGCGGGACAAGAUGAGGGCCGCACAGGACAGACAAAAACAUUACGCUGACAAAUGAAGGAAAGAACUGGAGUUUGCAGUGGGUGAUAUGGUCUAUCUCAAAAUGAUUACCUUUAAAAGUAGAGUGCGAAUUUCUGGUAGAAGGAAACUAGAUCCAAGAUACCAAGGUCCGUUCAGAGUCAUAGAACGAGUGGGUAGUGUGGCAUAUAAGUUGGACUUACCAUCCGAGAUGGAAGCCUUCCAUGACGUAUUCCAUGUCUCCCAACUCCGGAAGUGCUUGACGGAUCAGGACGUCUUAAUACCAGAAAUACCAUCUGAUCUAGGUACUAACCUAACUUUGGAAACAAGGCCGGUUCGGAUCGUAGAUAGGAUGGAAAAAGCAAUGAGAAAGAAAACAAUCCAGAUGGUCACGGUCAUUUGGGAUUGUAAUGGUCGAGAAGAGACCACUUGGGAGACGGAGGCCAAGUUUCAAAAAUGGUUUGACCAGUUUGUGUUGGGUGAAACACAUGACUCGGAUUCGAGGACAAAUUCAUUGCUAGUGGGGGAGACUUGUAACAUCCCGGAUUCUGAAUAGGAUCAUUGGGACGGCCAUGGUUCGAGGAAACGUACUAGUCAGGCUUAGGACAUCAAGACAAGCGUUCCAUGGCCAGAUAAGAAGGUUAAGGACGUAAGGAAACUUAGACUUAACCUUAUACAAGUCGAGAGUCAGCUAGGACGAGUAAGACGGUAGCUGGACGGAUGGAACAAGUAGCUCGACCAGCUCAACGGAGUUAGGUUAAGCUAACUCCAGCUUGGCCACUACUAAGUCAGCUCCACUAGCUGAACUACUCGCUCACUCAGCUGAGGCAGCUAGGAGUCAGCUCAUCUCAGCUGGACGGACUGUUCAGGUUUCGGUCCGAUGGUCCGGGUCCGGGCCGGUGGUGGGCCAUGGGGGUCCGGCCAUGAGGCCAUGGACCAUUGGGGCUUGGGACAAGGCCGUGGGCUAAGUCCAGGGGGAUUGGGUAAGGCCUUGGGCCUCUGUUCGACCCAAACCCAUGCGGUAUUGGCGAAGGGACGCAUGCGGCCGAGAGGGUGUAACCCUUGGCCGAUUGUGCCCAUCCACUGGCCAGUCAUGCCUGUUCGUAGGGCAACACUUACCCCCUCGUUUUCUAUAAAUAUGGGGUCCUCUCUGUCGAUUUCAUUCAUCCAAUCCAUAGAGAAAAUACUCAGAGAAAUCGUAGAGAGAGAGAAAGAAAGAGAGAGAGAGAGAGUUUCCGGCCAAAGCAAGGCCGUUUGUGUGGUUGUUAGGUUUCCAGCUAUCUGAUCGUUUGUGAAGCAACCUCCGAUCAAGUAUGGGAGACCGAGAGCAGGAGAAGAGCAUGGAGAACCCUGACACGGUUCAGAAGGUACGUGGUGGGCUAUGGCCCCAUCAGACCGAACUGACGGUCCUUAAGAUUGCACCGCGGCUCUGGUCGGUCUGUUAGACCUAACCGCUUCUCCUCUUCUUGUUUCUAUCCGGCCCUUUCUCUUCUUUCUGAUUAUACACGAAGGGUUGUGUUGGUUCAGUCCAAGGGACACGUCCCUAGACUGGGCCGGUCAUAACCAAACUGCUAACCUAGACGCUGGUCUGUUAGACGGUCGGUUCGAAUCGCACCAUAGACUGUACGGUUGGUCAUGUCCCAAGAGGCACGAGUGGCCAAAGGUAACGAGUUACCAAGGGUUGUGAGUUACCAAAGGUCACGAGUUCCAAAGGUUGUGAGUUGCCAAAGGGUGUAAGUAACAAAGGGUUACAGACGCCAAGAGGUACGAAGACGAAGAGGUACCAAGGACCGAAGGGGUGCAUGUUCCAAACGGUGUCUGUUGAGACAGGUCGUGUCCGUUCCUUAGGGAUCAGACCAUGUAUUGUCCGUCGAGACAAGUACACAGUUGGUCUAAGGCAGGGUAAGAAUCGCAAGCUCCGAUCGGUCAUUUGGCCUAACCGGUUUGGGCGUGAGGCUUACUCGGCCGUUGGAUCCAGGCCCAAGGCUGGAUCAGGAAAAGAAGUCCGUUGGGCCAUUGAGCCGGCCUUCAUCUAGGCCGGUCGCACCUAGAUUCUAUCUGGAUGGACGGAUUGGUCUUCGGGACGAUCCGGACUGUUCGUGUGUUCUGUUUAUCUAUUCUGGACUGUCUAUAUAAUUCUAAGUCAAGGGGUGGUUGGUUGAAUGACUUAAGAUUUGGUAGGCAGGUUCAUAUCUUUUUAUAAGUAUAUUGUCCGAGGUUUAUCUAUGUUUUAGGAACCAAGCCAAGCAUUGUAGAAUCGACCAGUUCUAUUAUCGGUUAUGAUUAAUGCUUAUCUGGUUGUGGUUUCCGGAACUAUGGAUGGUUCUCGUUAAGCCAAGGAGCCGUGAAGGCUCGGUCAGUGAGAGGCUGUGUAACGUGUGGUUAGAUGAUGCUAGGGAUGAACUAGUGAUUGUCUAUGAAAUGAUUAAGAAGUUGUGUAUCGGAUCUAAUGUUUCUAAGUAGUACAUUUUAUACACAUUUAUAUUCCUCUGUGCUAUCUGUUCAAUUGUUUUAGAACCUCAUAUCCAAACAUGACUUAGUAAAUGAAAGACUUAAAAUGAAUCAAACAAGCAAAGGAUUGAUUAUAUAGCAAACGGGUCCAGUUUCGUCGAGAGGCCAGAUUCGGGUGUUACAAGUUGGUAUCAGAUCCAGGUUGAUUCUAGGAUAUUUGGGUUAUGUAGUCCACACACACGCAGCCAGCUGAUUCAGUCUCACACUGAGGUCUGAUAGUUAGGUCUAGGGAUUAAUUGUCUCGGUUAUGUGAUGUAUAUGUUGUACUAACAAUGUCUGAAUCCUUAGGCUGGGAAAAGCAAACUGGGAAAGACCCGAAGGAAUAAGAAUUUCACCUCUGACUAUGAAAUACGAAUGCCCCCGACUGUAACACCCCCGAACCGUCCUAGACAUAUGGUCGAUCAACCGGCCAACAAUCAAACAAGAACAUGACCGAUCGACUGUCCAACACCUAGGGUUGGAGAUGAUUGAGCCAACCGGCCAGCCAACAAUCAAGCAAGAACAAGACUGACCGUCCAACCCAACACCAUGGUCCAGAAGCGCUACGUGACGGGCUAGGGACGAUCCGGUCAGAGUAACAAAAUUUACUCCACGACCUAGAACAGUUCAUCCACUAACUCGUCCCGCUGAGUCAAGGCACAAGGCUUUGCAACCCGUACCUAGAGUUAGCGUUUUCCGUUGAUCGAGGCCUAAGGCUUUUCAACCCGUACUAUGACCUAACGUUGUGUUAGACCGGACUAGUCAAAUAUCAGAGUACUCAUUGUCACGCCCCCAAUCUUGAAUAGGAUUGUUGGGACGGCCAUGGUUCGAGGAAACUUGCAAGCCAGUCUUAGGACAUCAAGGCAAGCGUUCUCUGGUCGAGAAAGAAGGUUAAGGACAUAAGGAAACUUAGACUUAACCUUAUACAAGUGGAAAAGGCCGUGGGCUAAGUCCAGGAGGCUUGGGGCGUGGGUUGGGCUUGUGACCGACCCCAAACCCAAUAAGAAAGGGCGAAGGGAUGCAAGUGGCCAAAAGGGGACAACCCUUGGCCGAUGGUGCCCAUUCGCUAGCAAGUCAUGCCUGUUCAUGGACUACUAGCUCACUCAGAUGAGGCAGCUGAGAGUCAGCUCAUCUCAGCUAGACGGACUGUCCGGGCUUUAGGCCGAUGGUCCGGGUCCGGGUCAGUGGCGGGCUGUGAGGUCCGGCCAUGAGGCCAUGGGCUGUUGGGUCUUUGGACAAGGCCGUGGGCUAAGUACAGGAGGCUUGGGGCGUGGGUUGGGCUUGUGACCGACCCCAAACCCAAUCCGAAAGGGCGAAGGGAUGCAAAUGGCCAAAAGGGGACAACCCUUGGCCGAUGGUUCCCAUUCGCUAGCAAGUCAUGCCUGUUCGUGGGGCAAGACUUACCCCCUCGUUUUCUAUAAAUAUGGGGGCUCUCUGGUCGAUUUCAUUAUCCAAUUCCAGAGUAAAAUACUCAGAGAAAAAUGUAGAGAGAAAGAAAGAGAGAAAGAGAGAGUUCCGGCCAAGAGAAAGGCCGAUUGUGGUGGUGUUGUGUUCCGGCGACUCUGAUCGUUUGAGAACUAACUCCGGUCAAGAAUGGGAGAUCAAGACAAGGAGAAGAGCAUGGAGAACCCAGACGUGGUUCACAAGGUAUGUGGUGGGCCGUGGCUCUAUCAGACCGAACGGACGGUCCAUGCGACCGCACCGCGGCUCUGCUCGGUUCCUAAGUCCCAUCUAGUACCAAAGUCUGAAUAUGAGUCCGGCUCUGGAUAGAGUAGUGGUGUCAGCAAUCCGAGCAGAACGGAUCCUUAGACGGGGUUGUGAAGCAUAUUUGACCACAAUUACCACUAUGGAGCACGGCAGGUCUGAUGAUCAGAAAGAUCUAUCUGAGGACCCGUUGGUGUCUGAGUUCCCAGAUGUGUUCCGUUCGCUACAGGGUGUCCCCCCUGAUAGGUCGGAUCCAUUUAUGAUUGAACUAGAACCAGGGACAGCUCCGCUGUCCAAAAGUCCGUAUCGAAUGGCUCCGGCCGAGAUGGCCGAGCAAAAGAAGCAAUUAGAAAGAAUUGCUGGACACGGGGUUCAUACGUCCAAGUAGCUCUCCUUGGGGUGCACCAGUCCUCUUUGUGAAAAAGAAGGAUGGUAGCAUGCGUCUGUGUGUUGACUAUCGAGGGUUGAACAGGGUUACUGUGAAGAACAAGUACCCGUUGCCCAGAAUAGACGAGUUGUUGGAUCAACUCAAAGGAGCCAAGUGGUUUUCUAAGAUUGAUUUGGCCUCAGGGUAUCAUCAGAUCCCUAUAGAGCCAAAUGAUAUUAGAAAGACAACAUUCUGGACCAGGUACGGCCACUACGAGUUUGUGGUUAUGCCAUUCGGUCUGACCAAUGCGCCUGCUGCAUUCAUGAAAAUAAUGAACAGCGUGUUCUGAGACUUCCUGGACGAAUCAGUGAUCAUCUUCAUUGAUGAUAUCCUUAUUUACUCCAAGGAUGAGGAAUCUCAUCGGAAACACCUGAGAGCCGUGCUGGAACGAUUACAGGAACACAAGCUCUAUGCUAAACUCAGUAAAUGCAGUUUUUGGCAGAAGAGCAUUGGGUUUCUCGGCCACAUUGUGUCCGGUGAGGGCGUCUCGGUGGAUCCAGAGAAGAUCAAGGCAAUCAAGGAUUGGCCUCGACCACGCAGUGCCACGGAAGUCAGAAGCUUCCUAGGGCUGGCAGGUUAUUAUAGAAAGUUUGUGAAAGGAUUCCCAAGCUUGGCUCAGCCUAUGACACGGUUGACCAGGAAGGACGUUAAGUUCACAUGGUCUGAGGAGUGUGGGAAAUUUUUUUCCGCGCUUAAGGAAAUGCUGACUAACGCACCCAUUUUGGUUCUUCCAGAGGCCGACAACCCUAUGUGGUUUAUACGGACGCGUCCAUAACAGGACUAGGUUGCGUAUUAACCCAGCAUGGGAAGGUCAUUGCCUAUGCAUCAAGGCAGUUGAGAAAACAUGAGGGAAACUACCCCACCCAUGACCUUGAAAUGGCUGCGGUAGUGUUCGCCUUAAAUAUUUGGCGAUCAUACUUGUAUGGUGCCAAGGUUCAGAUACUUACGGACCAUAAGAGUCUUAAGUAUAUAUUCACCCAGCCUGAGUUAAACUUAAGGCAGAGAAGGUGGAUGGAGUUUGUAGCUGAUUACGAUCUGGAUAUCACCUAUCAUCCGAGAAAGGCUAAUCUGGUCGCAGAUGCCUUGAGCCGGAGAAGGGCCGACGUAUCAGCCGAACGAGAAGCAGAUGACCUGGACGGUAUGGUUCGUGCCCUACGGUUGAACGCAUCAACCAAAGAGUCUGAACCAGUCGGAUUAGAGGCGGUCAAUCAGGCCGACCUGCUUACCCGAAUUCGGUUGGCUCAAGGUCAGGACGAGAACCUGAACAAGGUUGCUCAGUAUGAUAGGACGGAGUACCAACCUGCAAAGGAUGGUACCAUCCUAGUAAACGGUCGGAUCAGUGUUCCUAAUGAUAGAAGUCUAAAGGAAGAGAUUAUGAGGGAGGCUCAUAAGUCCAGAUUCUCGGUUCAUCCUGGUGCGACCAAGAUGUACCAGAACCUUAAGAAGUUCUAUCAUUGGAUCCGUAUGAAGGCAGAUGUCGCGGAGUGGGUGGCCAAGUGUUCCACUUGCCAACUCAUCAAAGCAGAACAUCAAGUGCCUAGUGGGUUAUUGCAAAGCUUGCCUAUUCCGGAAUGGAAAUGGGAUCACAUCACAAUGGACUUUGUGACUGGGUUCCCUACCACGAGGAGUAAGAAAGAUGCGGUUUGGGUUGUGCUUGAUCGCCUGACCAAAUCAGCACACUUCCUGGCUAUCAAAAAGUCGGAUGGGGUAGAUCAGAUUGUACGUAAGUACAUUGAUGAGAUCGUCCGACUACAUGGUGUGCCGGCAAGCAUAGUUUCAGAUAGGGAUUCAAGGUUCACAUCUUACUUCUGGAGGGCUUUCCAAAAGGCUUUAGGAACAAGAGUGAACAUGAGUACAGCAUAUCACCCACAGACGGAUGGACAGUCUGAACGAACGAUCCAGACAUUGGAAGAUAUGUUGCGAGCAUGUGUUCUAGACUGGGGUGAUUCCUGGGAGAAACAUCUACCUCUGGUAGAAUUUGCUUACAACAAUAGCUUCCAUAGUAGUAUUGGAAUGUCGCCAUACGAAGCUCUGUAUGGGCGUCAAUGCAGGACACCCUUAUGCUGGACCCAAGUUGGGGAACGCAGCAUGAUUGGUCCGAAGAUUGUAGAAGAGACAACCGAAAGGAUCAAGUUCUUGAGGGACAAGAUGAGACAGGCACAAGACUGCCAAAAGAACUAUGCAGAUCGAAGAAGGAAAGAUCUCGAGUUUCAAGUAGGUGACUUGGUGUAUCUAAAAAUGAUUACCUUCAAAGGAUGAGUCCGGAUUUCCGGAAGACGGAAGUUAGAUCCGAGAUACUUGGGGCCGUUCAAGGUCAUUGAAAGAGUUGGGAUGGUGGCCUACAAGUUGGACUUGCCGGCCAAGAUGGACGCAUUUCAUAAUGUGUUCCACGUCUCCCAACAUCGGAAAUGUUUGACGGACCAAGACAUCGCUCUUCCUGCCAUUCCAGACGAUCUUGGUAAGAACCUAACCUUGGAAACGAGGCCAGUUCGAAUAAUAGAUAGGAUGGAAAAAGCAACAAGGAAGAAGACGGUCCAGAUGGUCAAGGUUGUCUGGGACUGUAAUGGUCAGGAUAUAAUCACUUGGGAAACCGAAGCUAGAAUGAAAGCAGAGUACCCAGAGUGGUUGGAUCAGUUUGUUUCCGAGGAAGCAUUUGAUUCGGAUUCAAGGACGAAUCCAUCCCAAGGGGGGGAGACUUGUCACGCCCCCAAUCCUGAAUAGGAUUGUUGGGACGGCCAUGGUUCGAGGAAACGUGCAAGCCUGUCUUAGGACAUCAAGGCAAGCGUUCCAUGGUCGAUAAAGAAGGUUAAGGACAUAAGGAAACUUAGACUUAACCUUAUACAAGCUAAGAGACAGCUAGGACGAGUAAGACGGUAACUGGACGAAGUGAACGAGUAGCUCGGCCAGCUCAAUGAAGCUAGGUUCAGUUCACUCCAGCUCAGUCCCUACUAAGUCAGCUCCACUAGCUGGACUACUAGCUCAGUCAUCUGAGGUAGCUGAGAGUCAGCUCAUCUCAGCUAGACGGUCUGUCCGGGCUUUAGGCCGAUGGUCCGGGUCCGGAUCAGUGGCGGGCUGUGAGGUCCGGCCAUGAGGCCAUGGGCUGUUGGGUCUUUGGAAAAGGCCGUGGGCUAAGUCCAGGAGGCUUGGGGCGUGGGUUGGGCUUGUGACCGACCCCAAACCCAAUAAGAAAGGGCGAAGGGAUGCAAGUGGCCAAAAGGGGACAACCCUUGGCCGAUGGUGCCCAUUCGCUAGCAAGUCAUGCCUGUUCGUGGGGCAAGACUUACCCCCUCGUUUUCUAUAAAUAUGGGGGCUCUCUGGUCGAUUUCAUUAUCCAAUUCCAGAGUAAAAUACUCAGAGAAAGAAAGAGAGAAAGAGAGAGUUCCGGCCAAGAGAAAGGCCGAUUGUGGUGGUGUUGUGUUCCGGCGACUCUGAUCGUUUAAGAAUUAACUCCGGUCAAGAAUGGGAGAUCAAGACAAGCAGAAGAGCAUGGCGAACCCAGAUGUGGUUCACAAGGUAUGUGAUGGGCCGUGGCUCCAUCAGACCGAACAGACGGUCCAUGCGACCGCACCGCAGCUCUGCUCGGUUCCUAAGUCCCAUCCGGCUCUCCUUAUCUGUUUCAAUUCGUUUCUCUUCUCUUCUCUCUGGUUAAACACGAAAGUUUGUGUUGGUUGAGUCCAAGGGACACGUCCCUAGACUUUAGCUGGACAUAAUCAAACCUCUAGCCUAGACACGGGUCAGUUAGUGGGAUGAUCCGAUCGCACCAAGACUGGGCGGUUAGGACGAACGGUUGGGAAUGACCCAAAGGGCACGAGUUGUCAAGAGUCAUGAGUGUCCAAGAGGCACAGAAUGGCCAAAGCAUACAUGUUCCAAACGGUGUCUUUCGGGACAGGUUAGGACCGAUCCUUAUGGAUCAGCUUAUGGCUUGUCUAGUUAAGACAAGGUCACUGUUUGUCUAAGCCAAGGUAGAGUCGCAAGGUCUGACCGGUUGCUAAGCCUUCCGGAUUAGGCUUGAGGCUUACUCAGCCGAUUGGAUCCAGGCCUAAGGCCGGAUCAGGUAAGGGAGUCCAUUUGGCCAUUGAGCCGGACUCCAUUGGCCGGUCGCACCUAGAUUCUGUCCGGUUAGACGGAUUGGUCUUUGGGGACGAUCCGGAUCUGUUCGUUUGUUCUGUUUAUCUAUUCUGGACUAUCUAUCUGAUUCUAAGUCAAGGGGUGGUUGGUUGAAUGACUUAGGAUAGGGGAGGUAGGUUCAUACGUUUUAUGAUUAUGUUGACUGAGGUUUAUCUAAGUUCUAGGACCCAAGCCAAGCAUUGUAGAAUCAAUCCGUUCUAUUCUCGGUUAUGACUAAUGCUUAUCUGGUUGUGGUUUCAGGAACUAAGGAUGGUUCUGGUCAAGCCAAGGAGCCGUGAAGGCUCGGUCAGUUAGAGGCUGUGUAACUUGUGGUUAGAUGAUGCUAGGGAUGAACUAGUGAUUGUCUAUGAGACUGUUAAGAAGUUGUGUAUUGAAUCUCAUGUUUCUAAGUAAUACAAAGUUUAUACAUUAUUAUUCCGCUGUGCAAUCUAUCCCUUUGUUUAUGAACCUCAUAUUCGAAUAUGACUGAGUAAAGAAAAGACUUAGAAUGAAUCAGACAAGCAAAGAAAUUAAUAAGUAAGCAUUCGUAUCCAGUUGGGUCGAGAGACCAGGAACGGGUCUUACACUCAUGAAGCGCAUAUAAAACAAUUACUUUAUUGAUUCGAGAAAUAUCCAUACAUUGAUAUAAUUCGAGACCGGUCCCGGCCAAAUGCCAAAACGAGUCAACUAAACACAAAUCCACAAUACAGUUUACAAAAGGCAUGAAAAUCUACAUCGGCGGUCCUAACGUACAACACCCUGUUAUCCGAUCAUCCUUACCUAAGCUACCUGCAAAAAGGACAACGGAGUUGGAUGAGUAACCUAAUGUUACUCAGUGAAUUAUGAUCCCGAACUAACAAAUACAACCCCUAGCUAUCCCACCCCAAAAAAUCUAAAGCGAGAGGUUCACCUAACAACAAUCAAUCCAAUUCAAUAGAUAACCAAUAUCAGAAAUACGCAGCAGAUAAUAAUAACUAUAUAACUAACAAUAUGAAAUUAUAACCGCUAAUAACUAGCUAACCACUUAACCUCAAACUCAACUCAAUCUAGGGUUCAACAACCCUCUACAGUAACUACACUAUAACUAGGGCCCUUUGUGACUUAGUGUUCCUCCUCUAUCCUCGGGAAUAUCCUAUCUCCCUACCACAAAGGCCAGAAGAAGGAACUUUCAAUCGAACGUGGCCCACAGUACAUUCGGGUCACCGCACGACAGCCCCAAUACGUUUGGGCCACUGCCGGUUUUGGCACGACGGUUAUGGCCCACAGUACGUUCGGGUCACCACAAGACAGCCCACAGUACGUUCGGGUCACUGCCGGUCACUACCCCGUCGUGCAACCACUCAACCAUAGGCCAUGACCCCGUCUCUCUGAGUGUUCUCGACCCAGCGAAUAAGGGGUUUCCUUAAACCUACUGGGUACGCGGUUGAGGAAACACUAACUCCUUGGUGGGUUACACACAAGCUAUAUGGCAUCACACUCUAACUCUACAACACUAACAACAACAUCAUCACUAAGGCCAUGCGAUCCGUCGAGUUAUCAUGAAUUAUCAGAGCAAUGGGCAAAGCUCGCGUCGACCUUUUAUCUAAUAAAUGCAUCCCUUCCAGAAGUCGGGGUUUGUUGCACGUAUUAGCUCUAGAAUUACUACGGUUAUCCGAGUAGUAGUUACCAUCAAACAAACUAUAACUGAUUUAAUGAGCAAUGCAGUUUCACAGUCUGAAUUCGUUCAUACUUACAUAUGCAUGGCUUAAUCUUUGAGACAAGCAUAUGACUACAGGCAGGAUCAACCAGGUAGCAUUCAUAAAUCAGGGCAAGACCACGUCAUAUUCCCGC